rnacentral:lncRNA from 1 species
UACAUUUAGGCCAUGUUUGGAUGCAUAGUUAAAAAAUUCCGUGAAAUUUUUAUUCUAUGGUUUUGAUCUAAAUGAAAUACGAAAUUCUGUAACUACAAAAAAAUUCCACAGCUUCAUUUUUAAGCUGUUUGGAUACAGAUCAUACAAUUCCACAGUAUUUAUAACAAUUAAAUAUCUAAAAUUUUAAAAUUUAAAAUUCAAAAUUCAAAAUUUAAAAAUAAAAUUUUUAAAAAUUAAAAUUCAAAAUUCAAAAUAUAAAAUUAAAUUUUAAAAUUUAAAAUUAAAAAGUAAAUUAGAUUUUAUGUUUUAAAUUUGAAAUUUGAAAUUUGGAAUUUGAAAUUUAAAAUUUAAAAUUUGAAACUUUAAAUUUUAAAAUUUAAAGUAUACCAUUUAAACUUUAAAAUUUGAAAUUUAAAAAAUAUAUAAUUAAAAUUUUAAAUUUUAAAUUUAAUAAUUUAUAAAUUUACAUAUUUAUAAAUUUAAAAUUUAAAAUUUAAGUUUAAAUUAAAAUUUUAAAAAUUGAAAAUUAAAAAUUAAAAAUUAAAUUAAAAUUUGAAAUUUGGAAAUUUGAACUUUUUGAAGUUUGAAAUUUGAAAGUUAAAAUUUGAACUUUUUGAAAUUGAAAUUUGAAAGUUGAAUUUGAAAGUUGAAUUGGAAAGAUGAAAUUUUAAAUUUUUAAUUUUAAAUUUUAAAUUUAAAACGUUUUUGAAAUUUGAAAUUUCAAAUUUGAAAUUUGAAAGUUGAAAUUUGAAAUUUAAAGUUUGAAAUUUGAAAUUUGAACUUUUUGAAAUUUGAAAUUUGAAAUUUGAAAUUUGAAAGUUGAAAUUUGAAAUUUGAAAUUUGAAUUUGAUAUUUGAACUUUUUAAAAUUUAAAAUUUAAAAUUUAAAAUUUGAAAUUUAAAAUCAAAAUUAAAAUUGAAUUUUAGAAAUUUAAAAUUUAGAAAUUGAUACAUCUUUGGGAGCCUAAAAUGGUGGAAUUUUUUUUUUUGGUUAAAGUGGAUUGUAAGUUUACUCCAUUUUUUGGAGUAUAGUAUAACUAUACUCCAAAAAUUACGUUAUUUUUUUUUUCUUCCAAACGCUUCAUAGGAUUAUUUUCCUACUAGCGUAGCAUAGUUUAACUAUGCUACGUUUUUAGAGAUAUCCAAACGGGGCCUUAGGGUGCAUUUGAUUCGCGCUAUUUUUUAAAGAUUUCUAAUAAUCCAAUAGAAAUAAAAAAAUAUGACGGUGUUUGGCUAAACGCAGUAAGUAGUCUAGUUGGUAAUAUUGGAUUCACUUGAAAUAAGAUUCAUCCCAAAGUACUAAUCUCAUUCCUUGAGGAAUGGUGGGUAUCUUCAUAUUAAUAGAUUAGAAUAAUCAAUCAUAAUAUGUCUACUCUCUUUCUUUCUCCCUACCCGCCGGCUAAUUGAUAUCAUUUUUCUUUACACUCUAACCUCGUAUCUUUUUCUAAACUUAUCUUUCUCUCUAAAAUUCAACUUUUUUUUUCUCUCUCUAAACUAAGCUUUCUCUCUCUCUCUUUCUAGAAUCUCAACUCUCUUACUUUCUCUAAUUUCGACACUAUUUCUCUUUCUAUUUUUUUAAUUAUGCUCCCUCUUCCUUUUUUUCUAAAAAGAUGUUGAAACUUUUGGUAGCAUUAUCUAAAAUUAAUUAAAAAAAAUAAAUAAAUAGUAUAUUUUUUGUAAUAUUAAAUAACAUGGCUAAAUAAUAUUACCGUGCGAACCAAACACAGGAAUUUCACAUUCUUAGUAAUAGAAUGAAUAGGAAUAAGAUUCUCGGACAUCUUUUCAUUCCUAGUAAUAUUUCAUAAUGCGAACCACCCUUAAGGCAUUAAAAGAAAAGGGUAAUGUUCUAUACUAUAUAAGAUAGAGUGUAAUAUAUAAGAUAGAGUGGUGUAAUAUAUAAGAUAGAGUGGAAUUGGGUGAUCAAGUGGUUAUUCUAAAAGUAAAAGGGUGAAUUGUGGGAAUAGUCCUUUGUACCAUUCCUAUAUUGCAACUUGAUCUCUCUACUUUUUGCACAAGUACUUGAGUCUAGAAUAUUACAAGAAAAAUAUUUUUUUUUCAUUUAUUUUAGCUGCUUUAGUUUAAAGUUUAAACAUGAUUAAAUAUUCUGUUAGAAACUAAAGGUGCAACACACGAAAAAGUUUAGAAACAAAAAUAUUUAAUUAAAAGUAUAGAGACCAGGUUUCUCUGUGGGGAUAACACAAGGACCAUGCAUACAUUUUACCCAAUAAAAAAUGGUGAAGGGAGUUUGGUGUUAUAUAUAUAUAUAUAUAUAUAUAUAUAUAUAUAUAUAUAUAUAUAUAUAUAUAUAUAUAUAUAUAUAUAUAUAUAUAUAUAUAUAUAUAUGAGUGUCUCCCUCUAAAACAUCACCACUUGCCGUGGAUGGGGAAGCCAUGGGAUUAAUUUAGAUCUUUAAUCUAGAUAAGUUGGGAAUUAGGGGACUAAACCUCUCUUCACAUGCUAAUUUUUUAUUUGAUCCUUUUACUAAUCCCAGUUAAGUUAAGAUGUUGUAAUCACAGCCCCUCUCAAAAGAGACAGCUACACAUGUAGCUGGUUUUGCUUACCUCCUACUAGCUCCAAAUUAAGUUACCUUUGCAAGUGGAUGUUUAGUAUAUUAUGUUGAUUGUAUCUAUGAAAAUGAUCAUGUGGUAACAUAUUUGGAGCUAGGCUCCUACACUUUGAAAAGUUCGAAGGCCUCCACACUUAUAAAUUAUUUUUAAUGAUAUGACAUUCAAUUCAUGAUUGGUUUCGUUAAACAUGAUCUAUACUAUUAAAAUCAUUUGAAAACCAAAUUUCAUACUUUUUUAUUUCAUUUGCUUAUUAGUGAACAAGUUGUCUCAAAAUGAACAGUUGAAAAUAAAAAUUUCAUAAAAAUAAUGAUAAAAGACUCAAAUUUCGAAUCAGAAAUAUUAAUCUUGUUCUUGAUAUUAAAUAGAAUUUUCUAUUAAAGUUUCAUACAAUUUGAAUUAUUCUACACCGUUGAACUUACAAAUGUAUCACAUCGGUCAUUAAAAUAGUUAUUUUUUAGACUAUUUGAUCACUUUGUAAAUGAUGUCGAAAAAUUAUAAAAUUUUGGUUUCUAAAUAGCUCUAAUAAUAUAAUAUAGAUUAUAUUUAACAGAUCGCUAAAUCGGAUGUUCCAUCAUCGAAAAUAACUUACAAGUAUGAAAGCCUCCAUAUUUUUGAAAACGUAGGAGACGUGCUCACAUAUUUGAUAUGCAAAUGAUGGGAAGCACUUGGGUGCACUCUUAUUAAUUAAAAAAAAAAAGGAAAAAAAAAAUGUCUCAUGUGUUUGCCUAAAUUUGGUAAAGAGACUCAUGGAACUCAAUCACUACUAGCUACAAAUACACAUAAUUGCAACCAACCCUAAGAAAAAGUUUGGAGUUGUACAGCUAAGCAGGUGAUUGUGGGACACUCACAUGUUGGGAGAAUAAGCUGUUAUAUAUAUAUAUAUAUAUGUAGAACACACUUUGUGGUAGCUUGUAUAGACUUAGUCAGGUUAUAUUAUGUCUCUCUUACGCUUUUGUCUUUUUGUUUAGUUCCUUAGUAAAAGGUGGCAAUUAAUGGUUGGUAACCAACCCUAAUCUUUCUUUGGUUAGUAUUUGAUUGCUUCAUUAAAAUAAUUACAGCACAAAAACACCACAGAAAUCGGUAAAUUAAUUCCAAAUAGAAGUAGCCCAUAAUUAAUUGAUUUGGGAGGGCUGUGUGAGAUCAUCAGAUUUGUCUUUGCCACUGGUCUAAAUUUAAUACAAUCCUAAGCUCGGUCACAAGCCUCCUCUCUUGUUUUCUUUUAAUUAUAUAAAUAAAUAUUACACCUCGGACAAUGAACUUGAUUGGAUUCAUCUGAUCUCCAUCAUGCACUUACAUAGGGGUGUAAAGACUAUUUUCUGAUCAGUCGUUCGUCAAAUUAUUGAUCUUUUUAAUAACCACAUGUUGUUCCAUUUGAUCGAAGGGUUCUGUUGUUUACUUGUUGGAAUGAUUAAUUGUCCACAGGAUCCAAAACCCUUGUGCCCUUCAUAUGCACCCAGGAGGCACGCAGGGAGAGUUAUCAUCAUUAGAUGAGUGAAAGCUUCAUGAGGGUGCAAACAAAGCCCUCAAGACAGGCUGACAGCUGACCUGAACAUAAAUGGAUUGGUCUGCUAAUUAUUGCUAAGAACAACCCCUGAUGAUUGGUUUGCUGUUAAUCCUUCUUCCUGAAAAUUUUCAGGUACUGGAACCCUAAAAAGAGAUGAAGUUUGAACUAAUCCACACCUUCAUUGGUAAUAAUUAUCCCCCUCUAAAAAACAUUGGGACCGGGCGGCCGUCACUGAAUUCAAAGUACUUUAAUUGGUUAUUUCACAUGGUAUCAAAAUCUGUAGGAGAUUCUGAAUUCAAAUUUUACCAAACUCCUGGCCUCAUUUAAUUAAUUUUCUCUAUUUACUAGAUCAUGUCCACAUCUGUCAAAUUAAAUUAGAGAAAUGGUUCGGUACUUUAUUUUAUAAAAAAUAAAAAAGAUUUUGAUCGUUGAUUAAUGAAGGUUAAAAAUAUCAUUUUAGUAUGAAGCAGGUUAGAAGAUUAUUUCAUGUGAGGGUAUUUUUAUAAUUAAACUAGACAAAAUUUUAAGAAAGUUUGAUUAAUAUCCCAAAUUUAGCAUUAAUUUUGUAACUAAUUUAAGCAUUAAUUUAAGAUUUGAUUGAUAUCCUAAAUUUUAGGCAUUAAUUUUAGGAAUUUUAGAAUUCGUCUAAUUUAGGCAUUAAUUUAACUUGUUGAAAUUUUAGAAAUAGUAAUAAAUACCUUGAGUUUAAAUAUUUAAUAUUUAAAUUUAAAUUUAAAAAAGAGAAAUUUUGUGUUACUAUUUUAACAAAUUUAAUGUUGAUAAUAACGAAUUCAACAUAUUUAAUUUGUUUAAGAAACUUUUAAAUUCCUCUAGUUUAGAUAUUAAUUUUUUAUCACAAACUUUAAAAAAGUUUGAAUGUAGGUAAAAAAAAUAAAAAAAUUAGAUUCAACAUAUAUAUUUAAUAUGUUGUAAUAUUUCUAAUGAAAUAUAUGUAGGUUACGGAUAUGAAAUGACAAAAUAUCUCUGGAUUACAGAUGUCAAUGGAUACAAAUACCCAUAAUUUUAUCCGAAUCCGAAUCCAAACCCGAAAGCAAAUGCAAUGAAUUUAUCUAUGCUAGAUGGAUAUAGUUUUGGAUAUGGAUAUCAAAAAUGAAAUCCGAUAGAUUUAAAUUCGGAUAUGGAUUUUGACUGUAUCUAAUUCGAACCCGAAACCGACCGUAACCCGAAUUUAUUUUACAUUAUAUAUAAUAUAUAUAAAUGUUUGAUAUUAUAUUUGAAUAUGUAUUUUAAAAAUUUAGAUUUAAUUUAAUAUAUUUUAAAACAUUGUAAAGAGAAAUAAAUGUUUCGGUUUCGGAUUUUCAGGUUCGGAUUAGGGUUUGGGUUUUGGAUCUUUAGUUGGGUAUGGGUUUGGAUAUGAUUUUCUAAAAUUCGUCGAAUUUGGGUUUGGGUUCGGGUUCGGGUUUCGAAUUUGAUAGUUGGGUUCAGGUUCGGAUAUUUGAAAAUCCGCCUCAAAUCCUACCAUUUUUACCCUUUUUACAUCUCUGCCAUGAAUGAAGUGGAAAAAUAGAGAGGAAACAAAAAAGAGAUCGAAUAGAGAUUUAGUUUUUUAUAAUAGAAGUAAAAUUACUAAAUUAUCUAUAUAUUAAAAGAUCAAAAUAUCUCUCUCAAAAUGAUUUGGUAUUGCAUGUCACAAUUUAAAAAAACAUUAAAUUUGAGCCAUUGAUUAAAAAUGAAUAAACGGUAUAAAAAAAUAGUAAGUAUAGAAGCAUUAUUAAACUUUCAGAGCAGUCGAUGAGACGAUGAACCAUAAUGGUGAGGUUUAAAUGGAUAAGUGAGAAGCUAGAAAUUCGAACACCGAUAAAUUAAGGAUCCCUAGUGGUAGGGCAUAAGUGGGGAUCGGGCGAGGGUGUGGAAUUAAUUGAGUCCCAGUUACGAGAUUGGAGAUAUAAAGCGUAAGCCAAGCACUUGAUUUCGAUUCUGAUUUCUCUUUUUUGUAAUAAAAAAAAAAUUUAAAAAAAGAAGCCUUAAUUUCCUUAUCUUGUACUGGUGCCUUUCCUUGAGAACGAGCUCAGUUGAGCCUUACAAGAAGACCCUUAUGAGUUGUCCAAUUAGCCAAUAUGUACCUGAACAAGGGCACCCACAUGGCAACUUGGUGCUUAUUAAAUGCCCAAUGCAUAUGGUUUUAGAUGUUAACAAUGGUAUGCACAUGCCCAGUAGAAUUUCUAAAGAUUGUUAGUUGAUAUAUAAUUAGGUGAUAUAUAAUAAGGUGAUAUAUAAUACUUGUACCCAUCUCCACAUAAUUGGUAUUAGUCCUUAGAGAAAAAAACAUACAUUAGUUAGUUUCUUCUUUCUUGUAAUUAUAUCACUUUUCCAAAUUCAGUUUUUGGUAGCUAACUAGUGUUUUCCAAUACUUCCUAAUUAAGCUUGAAUCCAAUUGAGAGCAACAAACAUUUUCCUUUAUAUGCAUGGUUAACAAUUUUAGAGGCCACUGACCGUCCCUAGAACAAGUGCAAAGGGUUUGACGAUUGGUACCAGAAGUUUUAAGUUCGAAUCCUAGUUGAUUCACAUUUUCAGCUAAGUUUAUUUCUAAAUAAAAUAAACAAAGCGGGUACCGUGCUAUCUAUCUCUCAAAAAAAAAAAAAAAAAAUCUAGAAGCCAAUAUAUGUACUAGAUUUGAAGUUCUUUAAUUAAGACUAUGCUUGAUGCAUGCCUCUCUACUAUACAGCAACGAAAAUUUAUAAAAAAAAAAGGAAGAAAAUCUAAGGCUCUGAUUGCUUUAUACAUGUACUCCUUUACGUGCACGCGCAUCAACUGGUGUCUUCAACGUACAGUUGGGAACAUGCACCACGUAUUAGUUUAACUUAUCCCUAUAUACAUGUUUCUAAUUAGAAUAGCAACAAUGGCUUUGAUUAAUUAGGAGGUGUACUCUUUGUACCUAAGUUGAUCCAAGACAAAUUAAAUCCAAAGAUAAGUGCUACUGAUCAGAGGGUACAGCUUGAAACCACCUGUCUUAACGCAAGUGGAGGAGUACUUAAAUAGAUAUUAGAACAUGGGGAUCGGAAUAUAUAAGCAACUGCUUCUGCUUCUGCUUCUGCUUCUGCUUCAUGUUUAAGCCAAAUACGCCGAGAUCAUACCGAAGCUUGGGACACUUGUAUAUAUGAAAAAUAACUUUGAAGCUUCUGGUUUUGUAUGUAUAACAUGGUUAGAGUAAUUGAGUAGAUGUUUUGGUAACCAAAAGUUGGGCUGUGUAUGUUGUACUGUACAUGGUCCACCAUAAAUUUAGAGCCACAAACUGAGGCUUGAAUUUGUAGCUUAGCAUAUCAAUUUGUUGGGUUGAUUUAGCUUUAUAGUAGUUGACAUCCAUGGACCAGUUAGUGGAUUGUUCCCCAAUGGGCUUGGGUUGGAUAUUAUUGGGGUCCAUGAUUUAUAGCCCAUUUAGUUUGGAUCUGAAAACUGGAGCCCAUAUUUUCCAUUUUGGGCCUAGUGAAUUCGACAAUUUGGACUGGCCCAGUUUCGACAUCGGCUUCUUGAACUUAUCAAACCCAAAAGGUUUUUCUUUUUUUUUAAGAACGGUAACACACUAUCUGCUUUAUUUAUUUUCUUUUAAAAUUAACUUAGCUGAAAAUGUGAAACAACUAGACUUCGAACCUGAGAUUCUGGAUACCAACCACUAAACCUUUUGUCAUUUGCGCUAAAGACGGUCAGAAAAUCCAAAAGCUUAUACCCAUAAAUUUGGAUCCACUAAGUAUAUAUCAGUUGUUUACUUUCUUAUUAAUUAUUUGGUAUAAACCAUUUAGAGGUGAAUUUCUAAUAAUCAUUUUCUUUCAUAAGUAAAAGAACCAACUCUUCCUUAAGCUUUAUCUUCUUCAAACAUUAAUUGCAGCUGAAUCACUUUUGGUUUUUCUCCAAAACAUAUGUACAAGUUAAGAGACGCCGCCUAGUGUUUUUUUUAUCCUCGAAGGCGGGGGAUCGAACCCAUUUCAACCUCGUGAGUUUAGGAUGUGGCAUAUUUAUUACAUAUAAAUAACUCAUUUAUCUUCAGAACUUAAUUUCAUAUGGAACGACUAUUCACAUAAAUUCUUAAAAACACGCUUAUUCAUACUCUAUUAUACCUAUGUUUUCCUACCACGCACCCGCGCAAUUGAAUGUACUCAUGUAUUUUACUUCCAUGUAUCUUUCAUAGUUUCAUAUCGGAAUUCGACCUUGUCUCAAAGAUUUGUGAAAUUCAUAUUCAAGAUCAAACCAGUCAAAUUUUAGAUUUCGCUUCCAUAACAGCGAAUUCAUUCCUCACUUCAAAUAAAAUGUCAUAGGCCGUAGAUACAUUCGCAGCUCCACAAGCCAUACAUAUAUAUAUAUAUAUAUACAUAUAUAUAUAUAUAUAUAUAUAUAUAUAUAUAUAUAGCCUACAUGUAUAUCUCCAUCAAACAAAUCAUGCCAUAGUUUUCAUACAGUAAAGGGAAAUAUACUACAUUGUACAAAAGCCUCCCCACCCCUCCUUCCACGUUACCUUACCUUACAUUCCAACACACUUGGAAGUGAGAAUCUAACCAAGUAGUUAAGAGAGCCGGAAAAAACUAAAACGUGAGAAGAAGAAGAAGAAGAAGAAGAAGAAGAAGAAGAAGAGCAGCAGUUGAUUGGAUUCAUAGGCCGAGGGCGCCGAGCGGGGUCUUGCCCUGGCCGGCCUCGAAGUAGAAGAUGAGCAUGGCGAGCAUGGCGAUGCGGGCGUGCUUGAUCUCCGCGAGCUUCAGCCGCUCCAACUUCUCGGUAUCGGGCACGUAGACUCCGUUCUGCAGCGUCCCCGCGAGGCACAGGGGGUCGAAGAACUUGCCCCCCGGGUAUCCCUGCUCGCCGGUGGCGUUGGCGAAGUUCUCGGCGGUGCGCGACCACGGGGUGGCCCACUCCACGGCCUGGGACUCGGGGUUGAAGAAGUCGACCCAGCGCUUGGACUCGACCCAGCCCAUGAGCAGCAGCUGGGUGCCAAGGAGGGAGCCGAAGGAGAAGGGCGCCACCGCGCCCGGGUCGGCGCCGGCCUCGAACCAGGGGAUGCCGCUCCACGCCUGCCCCACGAAGAUGCCCACCACCGCCGUCAUCGCCCACCGCCCGUGGAUCAGCUCCGCCUCCCGGUACCACUUCAGGAACGCCGGGUCCUUGCCCAGCCCCAGCGGGUCGAACCCGUAGUCGCCGGCAAGCCUUCCAUACAUUGGUCGCGCCAAAAAACAAAACAAAAAAAGAGUUUUACCGCCAAAGUUUAAGUUCUCAUACUUUAUCAUACGACAGAACAAAUGUGUUGAAUAUAAAAAUAAUUAAAAAAAAACCAAAUGUAAUGUUCGCCGAUUUUAAUGAUUUGAAUGACAGCUAUUUUUUUUUAUUAUAAUAAUUUAGUUCUUAGUUCUGCUCCUAAUUUCAUAUUCACAAGUCUUAAUUUCUUCUUUUUUUUCUAUAGUUAUAAAUCUUGGUUUUUUCCCUAAAAUUUUCAAACAUAGAUCGAAUCUCUGUUUCGAUGGACUGCAUUACUAGCAGUAAAAAACUGUUAACUACAGAACCGAAGAGAGAAAGAGAGAUAUUUGAGGGCUUACGAGCCAUCGAGCCAGGGGGGGUUGAUGAAUUCGCUGUCGCUCUUGACAGCAGGGAUCCACGACUUCUUCUGUGCGGCGGCCGCGACGACGAGGAGCCUGCGUGAAUUGCCAGCGGCAGCAGCGGACUUGCUGGCCAUCGCGGCGUUUAGGAGCGACCUCCGCGAGCCGGCGACGAAGGGGCUGGAUAGGCUUUGGAGGACCGCGGCGGAGGUGGAGGCCAUGGCCAUUUUUGUUUUCUCCUCUGUUCUAAGCUCACAAGCACAAAACUCUUCUUUGGUGUGCUUAAAGAUUCAAUGUGCGCGUCCUCCUCCUCCUGCUCCUCCUCCUCCUCCUCUGUGAGUUAUUGGGUGGUAUAGUUGUUAUACUAUUGAGAGGUUGAGGUGUGGGAGUGAGGGAGUUGGGGGGAGCCACUAAAUCUGGGGGGGAAUCUCGGAGGCCAAGGAGGAUAGAUUUCUGGCCAAUAGGAAGAGGCUCUCCAUCCACUUCGGCUGCUGCCUGACUGACACGUGGACCUCAUCCUGGCCUUUCGAUUUGGCUCUCGAGAUUUUAGUGGCCAGAAAAUUAAGAUUUUUUUUUUUUUAUGAGCUUUGUACUUUGAGGCAGCGUUUGGUUAGGGGAUAGAAAUAGAAAUAGACUGUUAUCCUUCUCUUUAUACCAAAACGUUAAUUUUUUAUUCGAGAAUAGUAAUUCUCGAUUAUCCCCACCAACAUCUCCAUUUUCUAUAUAAAACUAUUUAAAAUUGUUCUUAUUCCUGGAAACAACCCAAUUUUUAUCCAAACACUAUUUUUCUUAUUCCCAUACUUAUACCUAUCCCUGUAAUAGCUAGUUCUUGCUUAUACCCAAACCAAACGAUACCUGAAAGUAAGAAAUAAAUCUUACAAUCUUAUUUAUUCAAAAAUUAAUAAUUUUGUGCUAAAAAUAUUAAAAAUUAAAGAAUUUUUGGAUGGUGAAUAUAAGUUGUGCACCUCAUAACUAGCUAGGGUGUAAGAGUAGCAAUUUUGAUUAUGAAAGAGAUGUUAGCUCAAAGGAACUAGCAUUUUGUACUAUGACGAGAGGUUUAAGUUGGUUCAAGUCCUGCUCAAAUCGAUGAGAGACUGAAUUGAGUCGAGUUAUACUCAAAAUGAUGUGAGGCUAGUUAAACUGAGUCAUAAUUGAAACACGUGAGUAUUGUGUCUGUGUGCAUUAUGUAAAUUUUUAGAACUAAUGACAAGCGCCAACUACCCGACAAGAGAGGGAACUAAUAAAUUGCAUGCAUAUACAUUUUAGUCUUAUGUGGAUCCUAAUAAGAAUAUUCCUCAAAUAUUGAUGAAACCUAUUUAAUCUAAAAUUUUAACCCUCUAAAUUUAAGACUAAUUAUAUAAUGCCAAAAAUUUUGGUUCUUACAACCAUGGUUCUAUCGUGGACUAGAAAUUUGUUCAAAUCAUUUCGAAUUGUAUAGUACUUUAUGAUAAAAUACUUUAUAGCCACAAGAAAUGAAUUGGUUAUAAGGGAUAAUACAAAAUUAUGCACAUAAUUAUUCCUUAGCGUCAACAAAAACAAAAUGUCCAACUACAAAUUCACCUCAUACAUCGAUGAACAAACCAAAAAAGAUCAACGCACGAAGAGCUAACACUAAGUAAACUAUGCAUAACAUAGUCUAAAACUCCAAGUACGAGAACAAGGCAACAACAAAAGCAACCACAAGAGCCAUCACGGAGAACCCGAGCUCAAUUGCACCCGACUUCGAAUUCGCCGAUGUCGCAGCCGGUACCGGGGCUUGUGGGGACUCCGACAACGGUGGUGGCACGGAUGGACCCUCCGGAGAGAAUGGUGGUAGCGAAGGCGAUGUCGUCGGAGGCAAGGAUGGUGCAGGAAAUGGUGAAGUCGGAGGCGUCGAAGGGGAUGGGGUCGGUUGCGUCGACGGUGGGUACGCCGGUGACUGGUUUGGUGGACCUUCAAUAUAACCGGUUAAAUUUUUUGAAUAGAAAUAUUAAUGUUUUAAUAAAUAUUUGAAAUAAUAACUAGGAUUGCGUUUAAUUGAAGAAUUAAAGAUUGGACAGUGGUAAAUAUUCCUAUUAUUCCUCUAAUACAACGGAGAAUAGCAUAAUAGAUGUUCAAAAUUGUUAAAAUCAUAAAAUAGAUCUCCAAAAAAUUUCAAUUUUUGAGGCAACUAAAUUACAAUUAGCUAGCCAUUCAAAAAUUAAACAAAAUAGGAAAAAAUACUUAGGCAUUUAUUAGUUGUUUCAUAAUUUAAUAAGAGUAAAAUAAUAAUAAUAAUAAUGAAGAUAAACCAAAAAAAAGGUAAAACACAAAGUCAUUUAUCUGCUAUUUACAUAGUUUUAAAAUUUUUGUUUCAUAUAAUGACUAGAAUUGUAUUCUCUAUAAAAUUCAUGUUCUUAUAUAUUAUCCUAAAAAUAAAAAAUAAAAAAAUAUACCCCUUACUUUUGUAACAUGGGACUAUUGGCGUGUAGGAGAGCCCACAAAGCAAGGGCAAAGCGAGAGCUUUGGUGACGUUCACGGGUACGCCUAGCCUCGCCCCUUCUCGUAUGGCCUCACAGAGGCACGUGACGCUCCGGCUCAGCACGUGACCGAGCCCGGAGCAGCAACCCCGAUUCGGCCCCGCCGCAUUCGCCCCGCCCUCCACAAACUCCAAACAUUCGCUGAACCCAAACAACGCGCCCGAACAAUUAUGGUUCGACCCGAAUGGCGUUGACAGGUUCGUGCUCAUUACCGAGCCCAAAAGGGUCUCGAACGAGAAUAAUAAUAAUAAGAAUAGUAAAAAGAAGAGUUGAUUCGUGACAUAGGACAUUGUUGGAGUGUGGUAUUUGGUUUAGGAGAAUGAGGAGAUGAUGAUGAUGGAGUUUAAGUGGUGCUAAUUGUGUAGAUCAUCCUAAUAAUAAAAGCUAAGUAACUCUUUUGGUGGGGAGAUAAAGAGUGUGGGUUGACAUCAUUCAUUGGAAGAUCAAAAGGUUCUGGGUAGCUGCAACAGUUGUGAUUAGUGAAUGGGUUUUUGGUUAUUGAAAAACUGCAUGUAUUUGUUCAAUGGAAUUACCAACUAUUCAUAGUGAUUCAUUCAUUUGGAUCAGUGAGUUCAUUGGAAAGUAUUUUAAAUUUGAGAAUUUCAGGGUGAGGGAAGGACUAAUUGAAUCAAUUAUUGAAAUAUAGACUUUGGGCUGUUUCCCCCUCCAACGCAGUUAAGUUUAGAAUAGAAAAUAUAAAGGGUUUUUUCUUUCUCGUAAAAAAAAUUAAUUCUUUGUUGAAGUAUUUUAAAUCAACCAAAGAUUUUAAAAUAUAAAAUAAGAAAUUUGAUUUUUAUUUUUUUUUUUCAAAGAAGUUGAUCAAGUCUUUUAGCUCCCUCAAAUUUUUUAAUUUUUAAAAUAAAAGAAAAAGUUAAAAAAAAUUAAUCCGACCUGCCGGAUUCGAACCAGCGACCUAAGGAUUUAGCUGCAACGACUACAGUCCUCCGCUCUACCAACUGAGCUAAGGUCGGUUUGCAAUUUUUGUUGACUAUUUUAAGUUUUAUCGAGAAUUAGAGGUCUCUAUUUAAGGGCUUUACUUUAGUAAGCGAAGGAUUUUUGCUAAAAACACUAAUUUGGUUCUUGAUCUGAAUCAGAAUUCUACAAAAAGAAGCAAGAAUAGUUGGUAUAAUGUCAUGGUUAUCUCCAUUGAUUAUAGAUAAGCAAUAGAUUACGUAAUAUUAGACACGAGAAGUGUAGCUUUACAACACUUCACAUUGAAGAUGCGAUGGAAAAAUUCACAUACAUUCAUUCUACUAUCACUACAAAUAUCCAUUAUCCAUUCCUGUAUUCGUGCUUGCAAGCAAUUUUUAAGAUACCAAAAGAUCGCUUCGACCUUCAUCCUGCAGAUUCGGUAAUAUUUCACUAACACUUGAAAUUGGCAGGCCGAAGAGCAACGGAAAAGGUCAAACCAUUCUCACCCGAUGAAAUACAAAACAUUCAUUAUGCACGGAGCAAAAGUCUUAACUAUAUAUGACUUGAAAACUGAGGCCUAUAUUACAAUGAUAUCAGAGAACAUAAAGAAAUGCUUCUAAGAUGUUUGCAAGUCAUCUGAUACGCUGGGUUAACUUUGGUGCGCAAUCUCACUUGGAAGUAAUGUUUCUCCGACAACCUUUUUUUUCUCUCACAGAAUGUCUGCGUCUUCGGAUGGUAUUAUCCUCAUAGCUACUUGUUAUCUGAGUUAUGCAUGGUCAUCUAUCGCUCCAAGCUCAUCAAGAGAUUUGUCAGAAUCAUGAAGUAACGAACCCUCCGAAGGACCUGCAACUGUUUAGUUUGCUUCAGAAAUUUGCGGGAAUCACAGACAAUAAUAGAAAACAUACUUCUGAUAGAAAUUAUUUCUGAUAGAAAUUAUCAGAUAUAAACUACAUAAGGUGUGAGGAUUUGCUCAUAACAGUUAGGUAGGGGUAAAGUUACAACCUGACCAGAGUAGCGCAUUCAUUUGCCAAUACAGAACUUGCCAAAAAUGUUUGUUAAGACUUCUUCAGAUAUGUCCUCCCCAGUGAUCUCUCCAAGAGCCAAAGCUGCUUCCCGUAAGUCUAUAGUCCAGAAGUCCAUUGGCAACUCCUCAGUAAUUGAUAAAUUCAAUCUAGAAAAAGCUUCUUUGGUGCGUAGGAGCUGCUCAAAUUGUCUCUGGAUAAUCAUCAUUGAUCUAUGAUUAAUAAGAAAACAGUUGCAUACAAAUCUAUUUUAACAAAUGAUAAGCCACCCAACCGGAUAAAAUGGUAUUGGUUGCUCAACAAAUACAACAUAACAGAUAUGUAAGCAUUUUAACACCAAUUUUACUCUAAUGUCCUUACAAGAUCAAACGAGGCCUGAAUAUUCAUGUGACAUCUAUUAUAUAAAUCUCAUAAAACCAAGUCAUUCCCUAAAGGGGGAAAAAGAACAAUGCAUAAACUGAGCAUUUGAUAUAUUAUAUGGUUCAUAUCUGAGUAAGAUAUGUAUGUAAUCCCUUUUGGUUUUGUUAAGUGGAACAGGUAUCUCGUUUUGACACCCAACUUAUAUUACAAAUAGAAAUUUGAUGGCUCUUUGUAGUAAUGGCAUUCCACCACCUCUUUCCUCUUCAGUUAUUACCUGCAUAAUCUUUUACUACUACAACAUUACUGCCUUCGAAGUACCAUAGUUUGGCAACAAACUAGUGAAAGAUGACAAAAUUAAGAGAGUAAUAGGGUAAAGAGACACUCAUUAUCCUGUAUAUAGAUCUCUACCUGGUUUAUAGUCCACCUGCGACCCCCUACAGCAGUAGGUUCAAGACCUCGGACCUCCAGUACUGCUUUCUCCAGUUCAGGGAUGCCUUUACCAGUGACAGCACAUGUCAAGACAUGCUUGUUGAAAGAGCUACUAAUGUUCCCAAACUCUUCCACCGAAACAAAUGGUGCGCAAUCCACUUUAUUGAUAACAAGAAUGAUGGGCAUUGCAAUAGCUGCAGGUUUCUGUUCUCCAUGAAGAAACAAAGUCAGCAUAUGUAUUGUGGAAAUAUUAUAUAAGGAAAACAAUGGCAUACAGAACAUGGUCUAUCAAACGCAUUUUCUCAUAAAUUAUCUCAGAGCAAUUGCAUCUAUAUAUAGGUGACGGUAAGUCCAACUUAAUUUUUUUAUAGUUAGAUCGUCUAAUGACAGCUUACUUUUCUUUUUAUCACACACAAAAAAAAGGGAGCAUUCCCACUGGCAAGGUAAGCAUGAGCAAUAGAGCCAAGAGUUUUGCAGCAUUUUCAGACAGAACUGCAUUAAAAAUUACAUGACCAUAACGAAAGAAGAUAAAAUAGCAUACCUGACUCAUCUGAAUGUGCUCAAUAAGUUUUGCAUCAUCUUCCGUCCAUCCAUCAACUGCACUUACUGUCAUAAUAAUCACGUCAGCAGCCAAUGCAGCAGCUUCUGAUCGCUGUACACCUAUAAAAAGAAAAGUAUUAGGAAGAGCAAAUUGUCAAAUUCUUCAGUUAACAUUCUGAAGUAGCAGACCAUCAGCAAAUUAGAAAGAAAAGUGAUGUAUUUGCAAUCAGAUGAUUGCCUGCAAUAUACAACCCUUUAGUAACAUAUGAGAGAACCUUACCAAUUUUUUCUACAAUAUCAUCGGUCUCUCUGAUACCAGCAGUGUCAAGAAGGGUGACAGGAAUGCCUUGAAUGGAGACAUUUGCUUCUAUCACAUCCCUCGUAGUUCCAGCGACUUCAGUUACUAUUGCUCUCUCACUCUGCAAGCUAAAAUAAAACACUAAUAAUUAAAUAACAGGAUGCAGAAAUAGAUAUCAAAGUCCAAAGAAAGCCCAUCAUAUCAACACAAAAAAGUUGCACUGUACAGGCAAUCCCGAAUUACCUAGUAUCAAAUUUAAGACAAUAAUGUCUAUCAAGAUCCCGAAGGAACUAAUAGUUUUUCAUCCAAGAUGGUGCAAUAAUCUUUUUUCAACAAUAGUUUAGUCAUGCUUCUUCAGAUGGAUUUGGGCUGUAUAUGAGACACAUUAAGCACCAAUCACACCAAUGAAGACUAGGAUUCUUCACUACCAUGGUUCACACAUCCAUUAUCCUAACAGCAUCUCAUCAGGUGUUCAUCGCAUGUUAGUUGCAUGUCCCUCAUGAUCCGACAUAACCAUUGCAUGUCUGUAGCUUGUCAGUUGCACACCCAGUAUAGCAAAAUGUAAGAGGAUAUAAAUCAAUUCUCUAAGACUAAAUUUUGUCGCUUUGGCCAAAAUGCUCCAAGAAUAGUAAAAUGCACUGCCAAAUGUAAAGAGAGGGGAAAAAAAAAGAAGCAAAUUGAGUGUAGCCUACUUUGCUCCAAGCAUUGAGGAGGCUUGACUUUCCAACAUUUGGCCUGCCAAUGAUCGCUAUCUGCAAAAAAAGAAAUCAGAACUCCUUAAAGAUUUUGUAAUAUAUCAGGAGAUGAAGGUGAACCCUUCAGGCCGGGAAUUCACAAAAGAAGUCUUUUAUAUAAGACAAUAUCUAUAUCUCAAUAAUAUUUAUAUCAAAACAAAAGAGAAAUACAUGAAAGAAGCCUGUAAGAAGGGAUUAGACACAUCAAAAGGCUCAAAAAUCUAAUGUAGAAUUAUGUCAAUAUGGCAAACUUCGGAAAAGACUGAUAUACGAAAGAAGGUAAGCCAAUCACUCAAGUGAAAAGAAUGUAUCAGCAAAAGAAAAAACAUGAGAGAAGAGGCGAAAAGACAGAAAAGAAAGAACUUAAUUACGCUCUUAAUUUUCAAUUACCAGAUACAAAGACUGAAGCACGAGAUUGCAAACAAUACCUGUAAGCCUGACUGUAAGAGUUUAUCAUAGUUUGCAGUAUCCAUUGCUUGUUGCACAUCAUGCCGCAUAUCACUUAUUUUGUUGAUCAAUAUUGUGGUGUCUAAAGGUGGCAUUUCAUCGUCAAAGUCUAAACGAGCCUCUAUUUCUGUAAGCAACUCAAUGCACUGAGCUCUCAAAGAUUUUACUAUGGCAGAAAAGCCUCCCUGCACAGAAAAGAACAAAAAUUCUGCUUAUUCUCGUCAUCUUUUACUGAAACCUAGACAGUAAAUUAUAAGCACCAUCACCUAAGAAUCUGCAAAAAGAACAGCAUUAGAGUAAAACAUGCCUGUAUACCAGCUAAUGCAGAGUCUGCCGCAGCCAACGACUUGGCUGAAAUAAGUUUUGCAACAUUCUCUGCUUGAGAAAGGUCCAAUCGUCCAUUCAGAAAAGCACGAAGAGUGAACUCGCCUAACAUAGUUGAACCAUUUAAAUACGAGAGCCUAUUAACCAGAAAUACGGAAUCGGCAAAAAGAACAAGAAGCUAACCAGGUUCUGCAAGCUUUGCCCCUGCUUCUAAGCAAGCUCUUAACACCCGCUGCAAGCAAACAUCGUUCCCAUGGCACUGAAGCUCAACAACAUCUUCUCUGGUAUAGGAUCUUGGUGCCAACAUAGGGAUGGCCAAAACCUGAUAGAGAUUACAGCAUCAAAAACCAUCUCCAAGUGAACAAUUCACUAUGCCGGAACGUCGGAAGUUAAAUUCAUUAAGAUGACACAGAGAAAUGCAAAAAUUAAAAUCAUUCGAAAUAGAAAUGCAAACGCAAAACAAAAGGACCUGAUAACACUAUAGAACUUGUCACCUACAUAGCAUACACUAAAACAAGAGAUAAUUAGCAACUGGAUACCUCAUCAAUAACAUUGCCCUUUUGAUCCAACGCGAAGCCAUACUCUACAAAAUGGCUUUUGGGCUUCCACGAUACUCCGCGAGGCCCCCUCGCCGAACUCCUCGCAGGCCGAAACACGCGGCGCGCAACCGCCACCGCCGUGGGACCCGAGAGCCGAACUAUCCCCACCGGCGCCGCACCGCCGCCCAAGGCAGUGACGAUCGCCGCGAUCGUUGCCGACUCCGGCGAGGCCUUAUCCUCCUCCGAUUUGGAUGAGGCGCUUCUCUCAUCUUCGGUGAGAACUAGGGUUUUAUCUACAGAAACAAACGGAUGAGAGAAAAAGAUCAAAACUUUGAGGACGAGUACAGUGGAGAAUCCAGGAGAGGAGGGUAAGGGACUGAAACCUGAGGGGGAGAGGCGAGAGAUUAGGGUUCUGGAUUGGCGUAUCAGGGUAUUGGGGGAGGAGUAGGAGGAGGGGAGGAGAGGGGUUCUAGGGUUUAAGAAAUGGGAGAGGAGGAGAAGGGGAUUGGGAAUUCGCCAUGGGAGGAGGUGGCGGGGGAGAGUGAGAGCCAUUGGUUUCGAGUUUGGCGUCUUUUUUGGACUUCUUCGCGGGGAGGAGAUAAAAAUUUUAAUGGGCUUAACGGGCCCAGGAUGUGCCUCGGCCUUGGACAUAAUCCUCGAUUUUGGGCCUAUUCUCGGCCCAAUAAAGUAGGAUCACCGGUUGGGUUCGGCUAAUCGUUGACCCGAUUAAAAAAGUCAACUCUCCCUAUCUCCUCAAACAGAGCUAUUUCUCCUCUCUCUCGUCGCCUCUUCGUCUUCGUUCUCUCCCCUCUCCCUCGUUUCCAUGGCCGAUGCGGCGGAGGAGAAGAGAUCGAGGUUCGAUGACGUGCCAAUGGAGGAGGAGGAAGCAAAAGCUUCGUUGUUGAAGGAGAUCGAGUCUCCCUCCGACGAUUCCGAUUCCAAAUCCGUAAGAAAUCGCACGCUUUUCCUUGUUCUAGGGUUUGAUUUUGUACGAUGAUUGAGACUAUGGUGGUUAUAUUAAUUUCAUGCUCAACACGAUUUCAAGUAUAAGAAAGUUGUGAUUUAUGUGGUGUUAUGCGUGCUUGAUCCUUUCUUUCAUGCCGCUGCUCGUUAAUUUGGCAUUAGAUUCUAAGUUCAUUAUUUAGUUUAUCAUGUUGCUGAAAAAUUGUGUGGAAGCUCCACAUUGUGUGCAUUUUUGUACGUCUUAAUAUGGUUAAAUGCUCUUAGUAUUUGUCAAUAAUAUCAAAUAAGCUCAGAAUUAUGUCUAGUUCAACUUGUAUUGCAAUAAAACAUGUAGCUGUAAAUUACUUGUAGCUCAAUUACGCUGAGAUUGUACAUAUUCCAAACUUGUACUUCCAAUUCGUUUCCAAAUGUUGCUUGCUUUGUAUGUUUGAGCCAUGCAAAUGUUGAAGCCAGUAAAGCUUUUUCUUGAUCAGUUUUUGGAGAUUGCCUGCAAGAGCUCAGGUAAAGUUCGGCGCUUUGCUGCAGGAACAGAAGCAAGGUUUGCACUAUAUAGUAUUAAUCGCAAAUUAACUGCCGGCACUCUUCCCGCCUUGUAUAUUGAGGCCGUCAAGGAGGGGGAGGAACCGGUGAUUUUUGGUCCCAGGACAGUUUUGGUUAAUUAUGGCCGAGGUUGGAAGUUGCAGACAGUUACUGAAGAAGGUAUUAUAGGCUAGUCUUGAUCUGUUGGAACUUGGAACUUCACUUACUUUUAUCAACAAACUGGAACUUAACAUGCUUGAUUUUUUGUGAAGUCGGCGACGAAGAUGCAAGAGGAAUGCAGUCUACAUCAGUCAGUAACAAGGUAUGUUUUUUCAUAGAAGAAGUGCUACUACGGAAAUCAUGAAAGGUCUCCUUAAAGGCUGUUUAUACGUCAGUAAUCACGCGUGGUGCACAAUUACUAGUUUACAUCCUUGCCCUGAGGCGCUUUGGGGGCCGCAUAAGGGUUGCCCUAGUAUUACUCUGUCUAUAAUGUUUUUCUUUUUGGGUUUGAAUCUAGGAUUCUGCUGAAAUUUUAAUGGAAUCCGACAUUUUGUUUGCUUUUUAUUUUGCAGAAACCACCUGAACUCCAGUCUAUGAAGAAGCCUAGUGGCAGGUUAACACUUCUGACUUAUAUUGGGAAGAUACUGCUUACCUUUGCCUUCAUGUUCCUUCUUGGCGGAGUAUUAACUAUGUUCCUAGAAACUCUUCCGAGCUUACUCUUAUUUGCAACAUCUUUAUAAUUCGUCUGUUGACUCAAUGCUCUUAACAGUUUUCUGUAUAACUAAAUUUUCUCUGGAUAUUGCAGAUACACGAUUUAUGUCAAUCUUAUAUUUUUGUACUUCUUGGCCAGAAACUCACAGUAAUAAUAUUGCAAUUGGAAUCUGAACAAGGUGUUAGAUAAUGUUAAACCUUGGUUGUUUCACCUUUUAUCUCUCUUACUUUCGACAGGAAAGUAAUCUAUGAACUGUUUAAGCUGACAUUAAGGUUUCAUGUCCUUCAUCAUCUUAAUGUUGUUUGCCCUGGAAUCUGUAUCAUGGUUCAUGACAGAGGGUAUCCAAAUCCUAUUGGAUACCUAAGAGUAAUGUAUGUCUCUAACAAGUUUGUAGGAUUUUAUCUGUUUAACACCAGUGCAACCCAACAGGGCCUAUUCCAAUAAUUUUUCGCUAUAUUUCAAAAGCCACCCUGCACUUUAGGAUCUUUGUCAAUAACUCCCUAUACAUCAAAUUUGAUUUUGUUUUUGCAUUAUAUUUUAGUCCAGUCAUAAAUAGCACCAAACAUUUGGGAUAACUAAUAAAAUGUGAUACGAACAUUACCUUUUAGUGGCUGGAUGAAGAUGAGAGCUUAGUUGUGUUCUUGUUCAGAGAGUAAAUAUCAAUGUUUUAAGGUUAGAAAUGAAUUAUAAUUCAAACAAAUUAAGGUGGUUCAAAGACUUUUCCCUUUAUAUUUUUCUUUAGGUUUUUCUAAAAAUUUAUGUAUAAUUUAUGUCUCUUAACCUACAAAAAAUUGUUUACUUUUAUGCAGAAUUGGUCAUUUUAUUGCAAACCAAAAAAUGCGAAGUCUACAACCAAAAAAGCAAUCGGAAUCCUACAAGGCUACGAUCCUUUUAUCCAAAGGUCACUACAGUUUAAUUUCUAGCCUCUUUUUGGUUUUAGUUUAAAAAAGAAGAAGAAAAAAGAGAGUGAUAAAAUUCACAGAGUAAAAUGAUCUUUGGAUGAGAGAGUGUGUAGGAUUACAGCUCAUUUUGGGCUGUAAUUAAGUUUAUCAUUACUCAUGCAAAUCCUAACUAAACCCUAAGCUACUAAAAAUAAUUUGUGAAAAAAUUAACAGCCGACUAAUAACACUCAACUGAUCAAGCAAAGUCAUGCAACAUUAUGAAAAUCCAACGAAUUAAGAGGCGUUUGGUUCACAGUAAAACGAACUGAAAAAUUAUUUUUAGUAUGAUACCAGUUUUCCGCUUGUUUGGUUUGAUGUAAAAAUAUUUUUUCGUAAAAAUAUUUUUAUAGAUUUGGAAAAAAAUUGAAGUUUACAAUUUUCGCUAUUUUUCGGCAGAAAACGAAAACUCACGUUACGUAAAACUUUUUUCAUUUAUUUUUUUUCACUGAACCAAACAGAUGUGAUUUUUUUUUCCUUUCAAUCAAACAAAUAUUGAUGAAAAAUUACUUUUUUUCCUACAAAUCAAAUACUACAAGACGUAAAACUUAUUUUUCACGAUUUUACUUUGAGCCAAAUGGACCCUAAACUUGAGACGAGCUUUUCGCUAUAGUUUGUUCGGCUCAAGCUUUUCUGAAUCAUGUGAGUUGCUUUUUAAACAUGUACUGUUUUUUAGGAGUCUUUUUUCAGUAUCAUGUGAGUUGCUUUGGAAAUUUCCAAAGCCUAGAUGUUUAUUCAGGCAGUUAAUUGAAAGGGUUGAAUAUUUUGUUGUCAAAUCCAACUUCGUUUCUAGGCACCAAAAAAUAGAGAUCUCAAUUUUGCCGCUUCUACUUUUGAUACACGAAGAAGUUAUUAACAACUAAAAUAUAUAUCACACUAUUUAACAAUUAUGUCAUUUAGUUUUGGUCUUCAAUUACUCCAUAAAAAACGAAAAUACAGGUCCACCUUAAUGGAAGGUAUAUGAUGCCAACUACUCCGAUAAACCAUGUCGAGUUAAUUAAUUAACAUUUUUUCAAUAUUUCACAACACAUAUUAGCUGAGAUUCUUCUUGAAAUUAAAGUGUUUUAGCAUGAUCACAUGUUGACCUGAGGCCUAAACAAAAGAACUCAUCUACCAUUGGUUGCUAAUAGUUUGUUGUAUUUAGGAGGAACACCUCUCAUCUAACUCUCUGAACUGAAUUAGACAACUAAAGAUGCAUAUAUAUGUUGGUAAUUAAAUAUACACAUUGCAUCAUCUAGCUCCUAACCUUGUGCAUCUUUAAUAUCUACAAGUAGGGCAUUUUAAAUAGAGCCUAUUGACUUGGAUCUCCAAAUAGUUAAAAAAAAAUUUAGUGGUCCCUUAACCACUCAAUGAGAAAAGUGGUCCUAUGGGACAGCAUUCAAACCUUUGUUCUAAUUUAAUCUACCAAUUUAUAACUCCACGGAAUGAGUUCUAGGAAUGCGAAUUUUUUAGAUGGUAGACAAUUGUCAACUAGUGUUUCCACUAAUAUAUAAUUAAAGGUCCCUUGAUACGUAUAGGAACAUUUUUUUUUUUUUUAAUACAAGUGAUUAGAUGUUCAUCAACUUAGCAUGAUUCUGCAUCAACAAAAGAAGUAACAUGAGUAUAUAUGAAUACUAACAUGCUAGAGCUACACACAAAUAUUGCUACAAAUAUAAAAAUAUAGUUAUACAAUAGUGACUUACAAACAUAGUUUUCAUAAUGAAAUAAUGUAACCAUCCAACUCAUCUCCCUCACCAAAAGCUCAUAGACAUUUUCUGCUGCAAUGUCACACCCACAGAAACUGCAUCUAGUUGAUCAACUGAUGAUCAGCAGGCCAGAACUCAGCUUUCUUAACCUUUGAGAUGCUCUCCAAGACCCCCAUUGGUGACACAUGGCCCAUCACAGUGACCCUCUUGGUGUCCAGAUCUAUGCUAAAGGAUGUCACCCCUGUCAUUUUUUUUUAAUGAAAAAAAAUAAAGUGAUGAUGUUAAAUAAGAAAAAAAAAUCUCAAAAACCACCUAUCUGUAUAUAUAAUUCACUUACAAUUUACCAUCCUAUAUAUGUGUUCUGUUUUAGUUUCGUACGUAUCUUUCAUUAAAUAGCGAUAGUAAAAUACUGUAUUUAUAAAUCAUAAGUUAGUAAAUUAUAGCACUUUAUCAUUUUAAGAUUUGUACUUUACACUAUACUUUGUUAUUUAUAAAAUAUACCAUCAAUUUUGUUGCCAUGUUUAAAACAAAAACCACAUUUUAGGGUAAAGUACUGUAUCUUUGAACCAUGCAUGGAAUAGUAAACUAUAAAUAUUAAAUAAUACUAUACAUUGGGUGAUUUUUUAAAUUUUUUUUGAAAAAAAAAAGAAAAGAGGAGGAAAUUAAAGAACUCUCUUAGUAGUUCCAGAAGAGUACUAAAUAUAUUUUGGUCUAUAUACCUUCCAUUUUGGAGAUGUGUUUCCUUACUUUUCCUGCACACCCUUGACAAUGAAUAGCAACUCUCAUCACCACUACCUAUCAAAUAAGAAAGAAAGAAUAGGGAGGAGUGAAAAAGGAAAUUAAACUAGAAUAAUUUGUAGGGGAUGAAGACAAAGGAACAGGUUAAUACUUGGAGGAAAAUGUGAACACCAAAAUAAUUAACCAUAGAGGAAGGGAAGGAGCAAUAUUUGUUAGUGGGCCACUACUGUUCCUCCACUUAAAAAAGAGAACUUGUACAUAGUACUACCAUUGUCUUGAUAAUUGGUACUAUGUAUACAGAUCCACUUGAGCCAUUUGGAUUCUCCUCCUUGUUUUUCUUUUACUACAUGUCAAUUACCACACAGUUAAGUUUAGCAGGAAGCUUUUAUGGAGGCUUUUAUCUCAUUAAUCUCACAGUUUGUAGUAUGAGUUGUUUACAUAAAUAAAUUUCAUGAACUUGACAUAAUGCUGUACUGUUUUGCCCUCUCUUGAUUAGAAUGAUGAAAGGGCCUCUUUGGCCAACUAAUUAAUUAGCUACAAAAUUUCUUAUUGUGUGCUAUACCCGAAGUAAAGUUUUAAGUUAAACGUUGUACAUAUUUUGGAGGUUUAUAAUCGACUUAUUUCACAUUAAUCCGCAAGAGUACAUUAAAAAUGCAUAAUUUGUUUUGUCAAUUACAUAAUUGGCUCUCAUCUGCUUCUCGAGGUAAAAAAGCUAUUCUACGUAUGAGCAGCUAGGCACCAAAAAGAAUAUUGAAUGAUGCAACUUCAUCCAAUUUUGAACUAGCAUAUAUGUAAGACACAGCGUGAUUUUCUAUUUGCAUUUUAUAUAUAAUUGGGGGCAAAAUUAAGAAGAUCCUAGCAUGUGUAGUAGCUUUAAUUCACGAAUUAACAAGUCAAUUCAUUUGAUUAACCUAGCUUAUUAAUCUCCUUUAGUUAAUUUCCACAAUAUACUCCAUAAAACAAUAUAAAAGUUACAUGAAAUACAAAUAUAUAUAUUUAUAUAUACAUAGAGAGAGAGAGAGAGAGAGAGAGAGAGAGAGAGAGAGUUUAGUUCCUCUACUAUUAAAAGCACAUGAGCAUCUAUAUUUGUAAUUUUUUAAAGCACUAAUAAAAGAGACUUAAGGUAGGUAGCUUACUUGAAAGACAUGAUCAGCAGUGGAUACAGGUUCAAGAGGAGGCAGUACGACAUUAGCAUUGUUUGGCUUUGGCUGCUCCCUGCUGAUUUCCUUCUUCGUGAGCAUGGGGAGUGUGACCGCCGACCGCCUCCGAUCAUGACCGGGGCCGAACCUCCGCGAGUCGGGCAGCCGAGAGUACUUGAAGUCUACCAGGUGCCGCGAAUUCUCGAUAAUCUUCCUAUCGGCCGCCCUCCUCGUCGUCGUGAUCAUCGUCCUCGCGUCGCACGGUAUGCAGACCGCCGUCGACUCGUGCGACCGGCAUAGCAUUCCAUUGGCCUUCAUGGAUAUAGAGAGAGAGAGAGAUAGAAGAGAGAGAGAGAGAGGAGGAGGGGUAUUGAAGGAGAGAGCUAGUUUUGUGGAGGUUAAGGAUAUAUAUAGGAAUAGAGGGAGGGGAAAAGAGAGGAGGGUUCACUCUUUACUUAUAAAAAGGAGGUUGAUAUGAUGCUCUUGCUGAACCAUCUAACUACCUUGAGUUCCAAAUAUAUAUGGCAAAAUAUAAGGUACAUAUAUGAAGUAGCUAAGUUAUAUCAACUGUUUUUUUUUUUUUUUUGUUACUUAGGAUAAAACUUUAAAAAAAAAACAUGAUAUUAAUUAGCAAAUUCUUGACAUUAGAGUUCGAUGGUCCUUUGGGUCAGAUGUUGAUCUAAAUAUGAUCAGUAACUGAGAUUCAGAACCAAAUUCUAACAAAUUUUGAUUAAGCCUAAAUCAAAAUUCAAUUCAAAAACUCUACUGUAAAAAUGCACUAUGACAGGUAACAUUUUCAACAUUAUAUGUAUUUUUUUUUCCCCUCAUAUAUUCUUAAUUUUGACUUGUGAAGUGGUUUAUGUUAAGGAGAUAUAUAUAUAUAUAUAUAUAUAUAUAUAUAUGCAGGAACAGUGGAAGAGAGAGACAUGCUUUCUUAAUGACUGAGCUAACUCAGAGCGGCGCGGACUCGGCUCGAUCGGCUCGGCUCGACUCGGUCACGUGAUAGUGGGAAUGAAAUGACCAUACUGCCCUUGUCAUUUCGUUACCACAGUAGGGUAAUGUACCGAGUGGGGUAAGAAAGGUAACAUUGCCAUUUUUCAUUUUCACGAAGGGUAUGGUCACGUGACAACCACUAAAAUAAUUAACUGGUUGGGUCCCAGUUAAUUUAUGAAGUGACUCAGUAAUAAAUGUCGAGUCGAGAUAAAGUUCGAUCGGUCCAUUUCUCACCAUUAAUCGUGCAUGAACUUUACGCGCGAUCACGUUCCAAGUUUAUAUAAUUUUCUUUCAAAAAAAUAAAUCAGAAGUAUGUUUAAACUUUAUACUCUAGAUCAAUUAGAUUGUUUUUGCGUUAAUUUUGAAUGAACCUUCCAAAACUACCAAUUUGAAAAUCUUUAAUUUUUCCAUGAUUGUAAUUUUUUUUUCUUAUGACCAAUGACUAACAAAAGAUUAUAGAUGUGCUGUUUACCUAAAAUUAUUCGUCAAACAAUGCAUCAGCAAUUUUUUUAUUAUAGUUUCUCUAGUAGCUUUUCGCUUUUUGUAAAAAUGAAGUUCUAAAUUUCUCAUUUACAAACAUGCAACGUUAUAUGCAACGAAAAAAAAAAAAAAGAAGCAGCUUGAAUCAUCCUUUUUUCAUUUUAUAAUUCUAGGGGCCACAAAGAGUACCUGAUCAAAGGACAAUAUUAAUUACCACGAAAUGAAGAUCAAGAGGGUCAAAAAGCUACAGGGGGGAAUGGUAAAAAGUGGUAAGGAUUCAGUUAAAGUUCAGUGCAAUAACUGCAGUAAACAGAGGGAAAGAUUCGGAAACUGCACUCUGAGCUCUCCCUGAACCCCUCUCUCGUAUUGUGCCUCGUCCUACAGUUACAGAUUUAUCAUUUCAGGGCAAAAAAAAAAAAAAAAAAAAAAAAAAAAAAAAUCUCUAAGGAGCUUUUUUUUCUUUUUUUUUACAUCAUUAAUUUCGAUUGUGUAAUCAAUGUUACUUUACUUUCGCUUUCCUAUAUAUAUAUCAUGGUCUAAUUUAGGAUUAUGUUACUAAAAACAUCUGUUUUUAUAUUUUGAACCAUCAAAAAUAUCUAAAAUUGUUUUGAAUAUUUCUAUAAGACGUCAUAAUUUCAAACCUAGUUCGAAAGAAUAAUUCUAAAACACAACACGCAACCUUCGUGACUUCUUUUGAUACAAAUAGAAUCAAUACUACAAAAAAAUUUACGUAAAUGAUUAUAAUCAUGAAUAGUAAUAAGUGAAUCAGCAUGCUAUAUAUAUAUACUCCGGCCAGCUAAUAGCCAUAAGAAAAGGCUGAGAUGGAGAAAAAAAUUUUUGUCCCAGUUUUAGUUAAUGGUCUUUUUACUGCACACAGGUGUAGUAACAAAAUUCUUUUAACAUCAUAAUGUAAUUAAUAUAAUAUAAUAUUAUCAUUAUUUUUGAUUAAAUUUUAUGUACCUCUUACAAUAAAGGCUUUUUCGAUAGAGACGUGCAUAUUUGCAUUGCUGGUACGUACUUAGCGGGCAUGUUGGGCUGUGCAUGGCAGGCGCAACGUAAAGCAGUUGGUGUCCGACCGAUCACACGUCAAAAUCACCUCCAAUCCCCAAAAACUGGCCAUGCUUUCCACUAAUAAAUGAUGGGUGGGAGAUCGAUGCUGGGUGGGAGAUCGAUGCUUCUUCGUGUGCCCACAAGUAGUAUCAGCCCCAGGCCAGUUCUAAGGCUAGCAAGGUAACUAUAAACUUACCCUAAUUAACUGCUUGUAGUAGGAGGGAUCGAAUGUUAUUCAUUAAUUCAACUAGUUCUCUAAACAGGCUUAAGUGAAUUAAACUACUCAACUUGGAUCGCGUUCCAAAUAGGCAUGUUAAAGGAUCGAUCGUGUUAGUUUUUGCACGAUUUGAGUGUAACAAAAUAGUUUUUGAGUUUGAAUCAAGUCGUAGCGGAUUAUUAAGUAUUGGAACCCAAUUCGAACUAGUUAGGUCGUGUAAAACUAAAGAAGUACCGAGAAGUGUACGCGCCCGUCCCUUUUGUUUCUUUAUAAACCGAUUUAGUCCUGUGAACUGAGCCGAGCAUGACUUAACCUGUAGAUAGCUAGACUCAGUUGGCUAAAGUCAGAUUUAUUCUGCUCCCUAUCUAACCUUCAAUUCAAGAGAAUCGAGACAACAAAGCAAUGUUCAUAAAAACAAUAAUUAAUCCAGAAAGAAAAUAAUUAAUUCAAUUGUUUGGAUAGUAAGUACUAGCUGAAUAAAGAACAUCCAAUCCCUCCCAAUACAAUUUCAUCUUUGUAGUACUCAUGAAAUACUCUAUUGUUUUGGGCUAAAAUUUGGGGGGUUAUAUAAUUUGGGGAACUCUAUCUUUUGGAUUCUCUUGGUGAUGGCCUUUUGCUAUUAAUUAGGAAGAAGGCAAAAGGGAGACAGUGCCUGAGGUGUCUGAGGUGCCCAUUCAUGCAAAAGGACAUGAAUAUCCCAUGUCACACUCCUAAACGAGCCGAGCCGGAAUGGGAUAAUUAACCAAAUUUGCUCAACUUUAUUUAUUAAUUACACCUAUUAAAAAUAACAAUUGCUAGACAUGGCCUGAUGAUUGUUAUUUUUUAAUCUGAGGCAUGGCUUGGAAAUUAAUUAAUUAACAGAUGAGAUAAAAAGGCAACAAAUCUUUUUUACUCUUCUGUGAUCAGAAGCUAAAGCAUAAUUCGAAUAGUACAAGUAAAUCACAAGUUCAAACAAAUUUUUCAAAACCAAAGAGGUGGAAAACUCGCUACUAGAUUUUGGUAUUAAUUUCUACAUUGUUUUCUCUUUUUUUUUUUAGAGAAAGAUAGCAUACUACCCGCUUCAUUUAUUUUUUUUAGAAAUAAAUUUAGCUGGAAAUGUGAAAUAACGACUAGGCUUCGAAUUUGGGAUCUCAGAUACCAACCAUUGACCAAACCAUUGAGAUUCUAAUAAUAGAAAAAUGCGAAGAGAUAAGACCUGGAUUUUGACCUUAUCCGAAUAAACUAGCCACAAAUUUACAUGACUUGUUUUUUUCCCCUCCUUAUUGCAUAAUAAUAGUGUUAUUUACCUGUUGAGUCAGAGACUCAGAGCUACACGAAUAUGCAGUAAUGACAGGGAAUAUAUAGUAGCAGGGAGUGAAUAGUGAGCCCAUGCAAUUACUAAUUUUUUUUUGUUUCAUAUAACUUAUGUCUUAUGUCAAUAUAUAUAUUACUUACCAGCUGCCAAAAUUUGGCUCUUCCAUGAGGUAGGAAUGAAAAAAAAAAAAAGAAAAAAAAAAAGGGAAUAUAGUUUCACCAUGGUAUAAUUAUCACUGUAUAUAUAAAAAUUGACAUGUUUGGGAUAUUAUUAAGUAAUACAAUUAACUAAGAAACAAGUGUUUAGUGCUAAUUAAUGGAUAGUAAGUCAUCUUUAAUAGAUUCCUGACCACUUUUUUAAAAAUAAAAAUAAAAAAUGACUUAACUGUUCUGGAACUUGAACUUAGCCCGCUAGUGUGGAAAGGGACUUAAAAGGAUUGAAUAAACAAUUAUUGUCGAGUACGUAUUCCUGUGAUUAUAAGAUAUCAUAGCAAUCAUCGCUUAAUACAGUAGGUUUGUUAGUUAAAGCAACUUGGAAAAAAGUCACAACACUAAUUGUGAUUUGGUCAACUCUUUAACCCUUAAUUAAGUUAAUUAGUUGUAACAUCGUUAUGACAAGUACCAAUCAUAUAUAAAAUAACCACAACAUGGACGAAACACGAACUUUAAUUAGAUGUUUAAUAUUCUAAUAAUGUGAAAGAUAGGAUGAUGCGUUACCUAUGUAUAUACGGUAAAGUUAAUGAUGGAGCUAAAAGGAUGCGAAAUUCCUUCCAAUGUUAAUGUUUGGUAAAAUUAAAUUAAUGCAUCUUUCUUUUUUUUUGAGAAAAAAAAAAAGAGAGCACUAGUACUCAAGAAGAUAGAAACUUCUAAGUUUUAUCUUUAAUCUUAAAAAAAAAUUACAAAUUAUAAUUUUUCGACAAUUAAUUCUAUUCAAACAAUACUUUUCACAAAAAAAAAAAAAAAAAACUAAGUAUUUGUGCAUGAUUGGUCAUUUUGGGAUUGGUCCCCUGUGCCUUUAAACAUCCAUUUAACUUAUCCUGUAGGGCUAGGGCUAAGGAAAUGCAAGCUCUAUAUAUAGGUUCAAUAUAUAUAUGCAUGCUAUAUAUAAAUAUAGAGCGCAGCUACUAUCCGUUUAGGAGGACGGAUGACUUCGUCUUCCUAAAUUAUAUUAGAUGAUAGAGAUUUCAAAUCGAUGAUCGGAACCGUUAAAAUUGAUCUAGAGUAUUUAUAACGUACGUCUAAAAACUAAAUUUCAUAAAUUUUAAAAUUUAUUAUCAAGUUCAUUGAAGAGUUGAAAAAUGAACGGUAAAAAAAAAAUCUUGUGAAAAUAGAUGUUAGACUUUUACAAUUUAUGAUUGGAGUUAUAAAAAAUUAUCUAAAUAGUAUAAAAUUUUUUUUUUCAAAAAUUUAAAACUGUUUGGAUAAUUUUACACCAUUAAACAGGCAAACGGUUUAUACAGGCUGUCAAAAACGGUGAUUUUGUGAUUCUUUGAGCCCUACGUAAAUAAUUUUUAAAAUUUUUAAAAUUUAGUUUUUAGACACUUUAAAUACGCUAAAUUAACUUUAACGAUUUCGAUCAUUGAUUCGAAAUUCCUAUCAUCUAAAACGAUUUAGAAGGACGAAGAUCUUCGUCUUUUUAAAAGGAUAAUAGCUUAAUUCUAUAAAUAUAUAUAUAUAUAUAUAUAUAUAUAUAUAGCCCAAUCAUUCACCUUAAGUUAAGGAGACAAGAGGUAGUUACCACUGAGCUGCCCCCAACCAACUUUGGUUGGUUUUGGUGCUCCCUGCGUGCCCAGCGUCCCACGAUUAACUGCCUUUAACAGUACUACUGAUCUGCCGCUAUAGUACUCCCGGCACCCCCAUGUGAAGCUCUUACACAGCCUUUAUUAUCUUCACUCAUCCUCCCCUCACAAGUUGUUUGCCACUUUGCGGUUCGAGUCAAGUUCAGACGAAGAGCAUACUAACAAAUUAAGUAUGUAAAUUUAGAUUACAUAGUUCGAGUCUAGUUCAGACGAAGUGCAUACUAACAAAUUAAGUAUUUAAGUUUAGAUUAUAUUAAUCAUCGUGCAUCAUUCAUAAUUAACCUGGCCUCUAAGGUUGUUUCACAGCUUUUCAUGUUAUAUCUAUUUUCUGGAUCAGUCUUAAGCAUAAAUAGUUUCAGAAUGUUGUCACUUUGCAAUUUGCACUACAGAGACUCUCCCAUAUGAAGAGUGCACUAACAAAUUAAGCAUCAAAGUAUGUAUAUAUAUCAACAACUGAGCACCAUCGAUAAUUAACCCUCUAUUAAGACUAUUUCAAAGAUGUUCGUAUUAUAUCCGUUUUCGAGACCGGUCUUAAGCCUAAUUAGUUCCAAAACGUUGCAAGUUUAAUUUUCACGUUUGUCAUUUAUUAAUAGUAAAAAGUGUACAAAAUUUGUUGAACUAUGAACCAUUUGAGUCGACUAUCCAACCUUUCAAAAAUUUAAUUUUAUUGCCUAAUUUUUUAAUUUGUUUGACAUUAAUAAGUUGGUUGCAUACUUUGACUUUAAAAAUUAAACCAUUGCUUACUUUAAUGAAUUUAAGGUGCGGAAAUUGUGCAUGAGAUAUACUACUUAAACGUGCUAAGACAAAUGACAAACUUUAAAGUCAAAGUACUGAAUCAAAUCAAACAAAUUGAAAGGUUUGAUAGUAAAAUCAAAAUUUUAAAAGUUUAAAUAUAUUUAUAGCCGACUAAAAAUGAUCUAUAGUUUAUGCAAGUUUUGUACAUUUAAUUAGCUCAAAUCAAACAAAUUGAAAGGGUGGAUAGUAAAAUUAAAAUUUUUUGAAACAUUAGAUAGUCCGUUCAAAAUAGUCUAUAGUUUAUAUAAGUUUUGGACAUUUUUACGUUUUGUAAUUAGCAUAGUUCCUGCCUGUUGGUGGAAGCCUACAAACUAGGGGCAAUGCAUAAAAUCUGGAAAAAAAAAACAUUCCUAGUUUUUUUUUUUUUUUUUUUUUUUUUUUUCUGAGGGAUAAGUAGCACCCUACCCGCUUUGUUUAUUUCAUUUAGAAAUAAACUUAACUGAAAAUGUGAAUCAAUUAGGAUUCGAACUUGGGUCUCGGGUACCAACCACCAAGCCCUUUGUCACUUGCUCUAGGGACGGUCGGUAAAUGUCUCUAGUUGUUCAACAUGCAACCGGGCAACUCGGGCUUGAUUUGGGCUGGGUUGAGCUUUAGCUAAAGAUUGUAGGCCAAGCCCAUUCUGAAUUGUCCCAUCAUGGAUUCAUGGUUAGACCCACUUGUAGGAGCUGAUCGAGCUCUAUGUAUUUUACUUGAAUUAUGUCCAAUAUUAAAGUAGGAAUAUAAGAGUAACAAAUAAUUACAUAGUACAAGAUGAAUCAUUUCUUGCUGUAUCUGUCCCGGGCCCAAAGUUUGUGGUCCUAUUUGUUUAAUUAUAUUUGGCUUUUUGUACUGAGAAUACAUCCAAAUCCAACACGUUGGUAGAUGGGCGUGAGAGUGCUAUGAUGCUCUUCUACUUAGUAAUGAACUCGCACAAAAAUGGCGCGGAUAGAGACCAAAGAGAGAGAUAGAUCGAUAACAAGUUAUAACUUAAGCCUUUCCAUCAUUACCGUAGAUUACUCUGCCUAGUGAAAAAAUUGUGUAAUGAUUUGAGUUUUUCAUAAUAUUAUCUUCAUAAUAAGAUUCUAACACUUUGAUGCACGUAAUGUAAAAAAUUUUGAUUGAUUUUAUGCCGUCGACCAAAUAUCACGUAAAUUUGCCAACACAACAAUGCUUUAUAAGAGAUAUUAUGUUCGGGCAACCCAAGGCACUUCCUGUGAAAAAAUAAAAUGUAGUGUCACUAUGUUAAAGAUCAGAAAUGCGCUCGCACUUUAAAUUACUUCUUGAUCAGUAGUUAGAGUUUAGUACUAAAAUACUAACUACUUAAUUUGGACGGGUCAAUAAGCGCCACUAUACACAGUAAGGCUCCCUUGGGCUCAAGUCCGAUGAUAACAAAAUUAGGCCCAACCUGUGUUCGAACAUACUCCUAGAUAGCAUAGAUUUGUUGGACUGAGGCCCUAGUUUGCGACACUAGCCCAAAACAUAUAUUUCUGUGGUCUAUGUAUUUACAUAGGCCACAGCUCGAAUACAUAUAUUUUAUAUUUNNNNNNNNNNNNNNNNNNNNNNNNNNNNNNNNNNNNNNNNNNNNNUAUAUAUAUAUAUAUAUAUAUAUAUAUAUAUAUAUCAAAUCUAAUCCAUUUAAUUUAUUAUUCGUUAGUCAGUUCGUAUUCGGCUCAUUUAUUAACAAGUCUAAUACGAGCUGAAUUUUUUGGCUUUAUAUUUUAACGAGUCAGCGCGUGUCUGGCUCGUUUAUUAAAUGAGUCGAACACGAGCCGGUCUGCUUGUGUUCGGCUCGUUGACACCCCUAGGUAUAUAUUUGGGGAAGUAGCGUCGAAGUAAAGAAAAGAAUAUGUUGUCUCUCCUUCUAGAAUUUGCUACGUACAUUUUUAAUGUGGUCCAUGCACGAAUUAUGUGUUGGAACACUAGAGCUGAGCCUUUUGCAAUGUUUCUCAUAUCAAAUUAUGAGCCCUGCUGGAAUUAAUUUAUUUGAACAUGGUGGGUUAGGUCUAGCUCAACCAGACCCUCAAAAAUGAAAGACCUUCUUUAAAAAAAUGAAAGAAAAAAAAAGAAAAAUAUUUGUGAACCAAAAUUGCCAAAAGGAAAAAAGAAAAUAAAUAACACAUUAAUUAAUGAGUCCUUUUUUUGUUCCCGGAACAACCAAGGAAAGAGCACAGCGCAUAGCUUAAUGUCUACGAGCUACGUACAUUUUACACGUAGUUAAAUGCAUCAUAACAUUAAUUUAAGAAACAAAAUAAUAAAAAUAUUCAUUUUAAUUGAACUUCGUUUCCGUGUAUCAUGUUAACACACCGGCUUUUUUUUUUUUUGUUUUGUUUUUCCCGUUCUAUGUUUGUUUAUUAGGCAGCUUUUGUACUUUUAAAACCUGUCCUUGUUUCCUUUUGCUUAUGUUUCCAGACAUGUGAACAGGAGUUCAUGCACAGCAAUCAAAAAGUUGUUCACACCCAAUAAACAACCAAAAAGGGAAAAAAAUAAUUGGAAACUGCUUCUUUAAUUGCAUACACAAAGGACAACACAACACAGUACAAGAUAUGUAGUGUCAUUAAAUAAUUUAUAUAUAUAUAUAUAUAUAUAUUGAUAUAGAAGUUUCGUAACAACCCAUACGUCCUUUCCAAGUGUUCAUGAUCUAAUUAACUCCAACCCUAGCUAGCUACACUCUAGGCUACAUACUAUAUUAUUCUCUGACACUAUUAAGGAAAAAGGUUCAAAGGUAAAAGGACAAGACAUGGCAUGCAAAACCCUUUUUCCCUCUUCAAGCUAUUUAUACAAAAAACCAGUAAUAUUAGUAUGUCACUAAUCCUUCUCUAAAACCUGAAAGUGGUCAACCAAGGUCCAAUGCUAGAGAGAGAGAGAGAGAUAAAAUGAUCUCUCUCUCUCUCUCUCUCUCUCUCUCUCUCUCUAUGUUUGUGUGUGUGUGUGUGUGUGUGUGUGUGUGUGUUGUAGUGUCAUUAACUUCACAUAAUAGAGCAUGCAUUCGGGUUUUCAUCACUAAACAAGGUGGUGAGCUGGUCCUCCUGUCUGACUAGUUGGCUAGAGAGUGUUACAGCCUCGACAUUCCUCACAUACCCAGGUGGUGCCUUCUUGUCAUAAGCUGGAGCAGCAUAAGGAUGGGCCACCAGAGUGUAAGGAAUGUAAGGCCAAAUCUCAGCCCUUUUCCCUGUAGAUUGAGCCUUCUUUAAUACCUUGCUGGGCUCAACAUAACCUGUCACUGUAACCUUUUGCUGCUUCCUGUUGAUCUCCACUGAUUGAACUCCUACAUUAAUUAAUUAACAGCCAUAAAGAUCACAAUUAUAAGAACACUGCAUAAUAUAUAUAUAUGUGGAUUUACAUAUAAUACAAUGUGAGAGAUGAUGAAGUGUUGGAUUAUUAUAUAUAUUGUUGUUACCUUUCAUGUUGGAGAGUGCGUUUUUGACUUUGAGCUCACAACCCUCACAGUCCAUUCUAACCUUGAGCUCCACAGUGUGCAACUGCUUCCGCUUCUUGUAGCUGUGGCCAGUGCCCAACAAGCGAGAGAGGUAGUAUAUUGUCCCUCCCAUGGUGCUUCUUUUGGCUGUACUAGCUUAACGAGAACGGAGAAAAUUAAGGAGAAAAGGAAAAGCACUUCUAGAUGAAGAAGAAAAGAUGGAGGAGCUAGCUUAUGCGUGAAGCAGCUUUCGCUAGCUAGGUGGAAAAUUACAGGACCACAACCCACCCUUCGCUUUGGAUGGGUAUGCAAGGUGGAAAAGGCUUCUUUUGAGCUCGAUGGGUAGGUGGUGUUGAAAAACAGAAGCAGCUUCUUGGAACUCCAAACUCUAAACAGGAGAAGAGCAACAAUAAGAGAGCAAUUAACAAGAGUGUAAAAAUGGCUUCUCUAGAGAACUAUAUAUAUAUAUAUAUAUGAGAUGAGAUCACCAAGAGAUAUUUAUACUAAGCUCUUCCUCAGGCUUACUCUUCUUAUAAGAUAUAAGAUACCUUCCUCCCCACAAGCUAUUAUGUAUCCUAUAUUCCCUCUCACUCACUUCUCCCUUUGCUUCACCUCGACCCCUUCUUUUAUAGGCGUUCGAGGAGAAGCAUGGGCCUUAAGCCAAGGGCCAAGGGUUAAUAAAAAAGCAGGUGAGGGAAAAAGAAAAGAAAAAGAGGAGGGGAAACCCAAAAGGAAACAACAGUAGACUCGUGUGUUUUGUGUUGGGACUCUGACCUAUGUAAAAUUAAUAAGAGCAAUAAUAAAAGGGCGAGGGGUUGUGCAUGGUCAUGUGGUGUGUUUGUGUGUGCGAGUGGAGAACUCAGUCCUUGAGGUGCAAGAAAGCUUUUGGGAAUGGGAACAGUAAAAACUCAUGUGUAGAACCCAAUGAAAAUGACUUGGACCAAGGCCAAGGGACCCUCUUCUUCAGAGAGAGAGAGAGAGAGAGAGAGUUAUAAGUUACAAGUUAUAAGAGUUAAAGGUGGUGGUGGUGGUCGGUGGUCCACGCAUGAAAAGGAGGAGAAUUUAUUGGAUGCACCUAGUGUGUAGUGUGAUGUAUAUCUCACACCUAAAAUUCAAGUUUAGAGGUUAUGUAUUGUAAUUCAAUUUCGUAAAUAGAUUUGUAACAUUUAAAAGUCAUACACAUCACAUCAAUAAUUAUAAACUUUGGACAUCUGUUAUUUAUGAAUAUAACAAUAUUUUUUUAUAUCUUCAGAAAGUCUUCAAUACAUGCAAUAGGUAUUUCACUUCAUAUAUAUCCGACUAAUUUUGAUUUUCGUAUUAAAUAGUAAAGAUAUAAUGAUCAAGCGCAAUAUUGAAACUUCAAAAUAAAUGAUUGGUGUCCCAAAAACAUAAAAAUGUUAAUACAAUAUGAAAUUAUUUGAUUGUUGCUACACACACACACAAAUGCUACAGAGAAAACCACACACACACACACACAAAUGCUACAGAGAAAACCACACACACACACACAUGCUACAGAGAAAACUUAAUUUCUUCUAUACUAUUGAUUUUAGAACUAACAAUAAACAUGACUUAGUAAUACUGUGUAAAGCUGCUUUUUAAACCUUAAUAACAUAUUUCAUAUUAAUUAAUGUUGUAUAUCACAUUUACAAAGUGGUGCACAGUGCACCAGGUGCCCAAAUGAAUACCAAGGAACUGGGCUUCCCCUGGACCCUUCAUCCUACCAACUCCAACCAUGUUUCGAGUGCCACGUGGCAGUGAGGGACCAAUCAAGCUGCGCCACCUGUAACAGAGUGGUUCAGUUCUUAAGCUGCGCUUACUUGUAGCUGUGUGAUUGGAAAAUAUAUAUAUAUGUAUAUAUAUUUCCCCAGGAGUUUCCCUUUCGAAGGACUUAAAAAAUGAAAUGAGUGAUUAGGGUUUGAUUGGAGGUUGGUUUGUUCGUGUAGAACACCUCAAAGUGUUAUUUCUUCCUGUGGUCUCCCUUACAGGUGGCUACUUAGUUACCUCUUCAAGUAUACUUCAAUCAUUUAUGUUUGAAACAUGUGGCAUGCAAUUGAAGAGCCUGUUGAUGACUUUUUCUUAUAUUAGCAAUUAAAGAGUUGAUGGUAUAAUUAAUCCAUGGCUUCAAUUAUUGAGGGGAUUAAUUGGAUCAUGUCAUCCAUAUGUCUUAAUUAUCUUUAAUUGUGUGUCUUCCUCUUUGGAUCUCCUAAUCAACGGAUUAAAUUAACAAAAUAUUAGUGUGGAAUUAUUGAUGAUUAAAAUAUUUUCUUUUUGGUAACUUAGGCAUUUAGAAUAAUUAAUUUUUGUUCUAUUUUUUAAUAUGCUCAUAAACCACAUCACUCAUGUAUAGACUAGUGAGUUCGAAUUUUGUGAGGCUCUUAGCUAUUCUUAUUUAAUUUUUCACAUUUUAAUUUAAUUUGACUCUUCUUUUAUAUCAAAAUAUAUGCUGUGCAUUUGUUGGACGUUGCCAAAAAGUGUCUUGCAUUAAAUAGGCUAUCAAAGCACAAGUUAUACGUAGCAUCAAAAUUUAUACGCCCGUACCAAACAUAAAAGCUUUACAUAACUUUGCAAUCGAAAUUUGCUGUACCUUUCCUGACAACAACAAAACUAAGGAACAAAGUGAACUUUUUUCAGAUAAAGGCACCAAGCCUUUCCCUUCGUUCAUUUUUCAUUUAAAAUAUAAUAAAAUUAAAAAUAUAAAAUAAUUAAAUUUUAAAAUUUAAGAUAUUAAUCAUUAAGCUCUCAACUAACUACAGUUGAUACAGGUCGGUAAAAAAUAAGUUGUACAUAGUGUACUAAGCUUUUCAAAAUCAUUUGCGUUAAUAUUACAACUACAGUGAGAAAAAAGGUAGAUUAAAGAAUUUGGCCUUCAAUCAAUCAUGAAGCAAUAGAAUAAAAGAAAGAAGACAAAUGUAGCAUGCCAUGUAAACAAAUAAUACUAGGUGUUAUAUUUAGUUUUCCAAAAGAGAAAUUAGAUCUUUUGACUGUAGAAGGAGAAACAAAGUCAAACUGUAAUAACUUGUACAACAUAAUAUAUAUUAUGUAUUUUUUUUUGUAUACAAUUAUCAUAUACUGUUAGAUAUUGUUUGGUUCGAGAAUAAGAGAGAAUAAGUUCUUGUUCCUUUUUUUGUUCUCAAAUAUUAUGUUUGGCAUUCGAAAAUAGUAUUUCUUAAAUUUUUGGAAUAAGUUGGUAUGAGGUUGAAAUUGUUUUUUCUGGAACAAGCUUGUUCCCAGGUGGGAACAAGGUUAUUUAAAGUUUAAAUUUAAUUUUAAUUAUAUUAUUAAAUUAUUAAUUAAUCUAAUUAAUAUAUUUAAAUUAUUAUUUAUUGUUUAAAUAAUAAAAUAAUUAAUUUAUUUAUUAUUUAUAAUUAAUUAUUAAUAAUUUAAUAUAUUUAUAUAUAAACUAAUAUUUAUAUCGAUCAAUCAUUAAUAUUUCUAUUAAUCUAAUUAAUUUUUUUACUAGUUAUCUAACUAAAAUAAUUUACUAACUAAUUAAAAAGUUAAAUUAUUUUUUAUAAUUAAUUAAUUAAUUAAUAUAUUUUUAUUACCUUAUAUACAAUAUUCAUAGCUAAUAAAUUUAUUAUUUUAUUAAAUAUUUUUAAGUAAUAUUUUGAUAUUAAUUAAUUAGAUACAAUAAUUUUAAUUUAAAAGUUAUAACUCUUAUUCCUUUUAUUCCAAUAUAAUCAUCCAAACACUAUUUAACUUAUUUCUAGAAACAACCCAAUUUUCAUCAAAACGCAAAAUUGGUCUAGUUCCUAUUUAUAUCUGAACUUAUAUCUAUCUCCGGAAUAAGUAGAUUUUACUUAUACCCGAAUCAAACACAGUCUUAGAGAUCUUUAAUCAAUUAUAACUUUCCGAAAGGUGAAGAGCAAAGGCAGAAGAAGCAAGAAAGGUAGCAUCUAGCUCAAUGGCUAGAGAAUAUAUAAUGCUACCAUCUUUUUUCCUUUUCUUUUUGGGGGGGCUUUGACUUAGUCCUUUUUUUUUUGGUUUGAACCCCUUGUAGAAAGAUAUUGCCUAAGAUGCCACAGCUUGCAUCUACUCCAAGCCUUUGUUCUCCUUUUCACUAUGAAAACUUAGCCAAUAAGGAAAAGAAUUGCACCAUCAAAUUAAAGUUGUAAAUUUCCAAUUUACUACGUAAAAAGAUUUGCAUCUACUCCAAGCCUUUUGUUCCUUGUAGCUACUCAAAACCUAGCCACCAAGUAAACAGAAAAAAAAAAAAAAAAAAGGGUAUCACUUUAGUUCUAUUUUAGCUGUUGGAAAAGAAUAAAAAAAGAGUUUCUUUAUCAACCCCCUAAUACACUGAAUGCUAAAGUAAAAGGUUCUAAAUUUUUCGUCGUCUUCGCAUCUACAGUAGUGUUUUAGUUUUCGCGGUCGGAAUGGUUUCGUCGGUCGUUCUCCGACUUUUAUAUCACUGUACUUCAUUCAAAAAUCAUGAAAAAUCUAUGACUAAUUAAUUUAAUCAGAUGCAACAGAGAAUUAAGGCAGUGUUUGGAUCGGAGAUAAGGGGAGGGAUAACCCUUUAUCCCCUUUAUACCCAAACGCAAAUUUUUUACUCGAGAAUAGUAAUUCUCGGUUACCUAAAAUAACUUAGUAUAACUAUCCCCACCAACACCUCCAUUUUCUAUAUAUAACUACAUACUAUUUUUCUUAUUCCAUAUUAGCUAUCCAAACGCUAUUUUUCUUUUUCUCAGGAACAACCAAAUUUUCAUCCAAACGUUAUUUUUCUUAUCUCCAUACUUAUACAUAUCCCUAUAAUAGCUAGUUCUUGCUUUUAUCUGAACCAAACGCUACCUAAGAAUACAAUGUCCUUUGCUGAAGACAAACGGGUAAUGACCGACUUUGGUAUCACUAUUCACUCUAAAAUCACGAAAAUCUAUGGCUAAAUUCAAUCAGAUGCAGCAGAUAAUUAAGAUGCAGCAGAUAAUUUAGCUGAAGACAAAGUGAUAUCAAUUUUGUUUCUUUAAAAUAACAGCUAAACUAUUUGUCAUCACUUGUGUCACUAUAGAUGCUGGUGAUCUCUUAGUGAGAACAAACAAAAGUUGCAGUAACCAGCAAGUAUUUUAUAAAGGUCCAUAUUGUAAGGGACAGGUGAAAAUGUACGCGCACCUUAAACUAAGGGUGCGUUUGGUUCGCAUUAUGAAAGAUUACUAGAAAUAAAAGAUAUCCGAGAAUCUUAUUCAUAUUCAUCCUAUUACUAAGAAUGUGGAAUUCCUGUGUUUGAUUCGCACGGUAAUAUUAAUUAGCCAUGUUAUUUAAUAUUGCAAAAAAUAUACAAUUUAUUUAUUUAUUUAUUUAAUUAAUUUUAGAUAAUGUUGCCAAAAAUUUCAACAUCUUUUUAAAAAAAAGGGAGAGAGAGUAUAAGUUAGAGAGAGAAAGCAUAAUUAAAAAAAUAGAAAGAAAAAUAUAAUCGAAAUUAGAGGGAGUGAGAGAGUUGAAAUUUUAGAAAGAGAGAGAGAAAGCUUAGUUUAGAGAGAGAAAAAAAAGUUGAAUUUUAGAGAGAAAAAUAAGUUUAGAGAGAGAUAUAAGGUUAGAGUGUAAAGAAAAAUAAUAUCAAUUAGCCGGCGGGUAGGAAGAAAGAAAGAGAUUAGACAUAUUAUGAUUACCCCAAUCCAUUAAUAUGAGGAUACCCGCCCUCCCUCAAGGGAAUGAGAUUAGUACUUUGGGGUGAAUCUUAUUCCCAAGUGAAUCCAAUAUUACCAACUAGAUUACUUAGUGCGUUUAGCCAAAUACCGUCAUAUUUUUUUAUUCCCAUUAAAUUACUAGGAAUCUUUAAAAGAUAGCGCGAACCAAACGCACCCUAAAGGUAAUUCGGAAACUUGGCACAAAACUACUUUUUUUGAACUUAAUCACCCAAGUGAGAACUUUUUCUGAUUUAAACAACUUCCGUACGAUUUAAUAUAUUUCCAAUUAAAAAUUACAUAACAUAAUCCUUCACUUUAUGCAAAAAUCAUAGUUAAAGGAGUUCAAAUGCUGAAAGAUAAAGAAAUAAAGCAUUAGAGGUUUUGUUUUCAAAUUACGCAUCCCCUUAUAAAAGAUAUUCUGAGGAGUUGUAAUGCUCUUCGUUCAACAAGUAGUUUCAAUCUCAAAUAUGGAAUCAUCUUUCAAAUUAUGAAGUGGGUAGGGGUGGUUUGAAUGCAAUUAAUGCUUAUUGUUUGUUUUCUGCAAGAGUAAUAGGAAAUAUUUGCUGCAUUCAUCAAUUAAAAUAGGAAAAACUUCAAAAACUCCCCGUGAUUUCACACUUUUUUAUUUUAGUAUCCUGUGGUUUAAAAUGUAUCAAAUUAGUACCCUGUGGUUUCUCACUUUAUCACUUUAGUAUCUUAUGAUUUAAAGUGUAUCAAGUUAGUACCCUGUGGUUUUGCACUUUAUCACCCUAGUACCCUGUGGUUUCACAUUUUAUCACUUUAGUACCCUAUGGUUUAAAAAACCACAGGGUACUAACUUGAUACAAAAUUAAAACCACAGGAUACUAAGGUGAUAAAGUGCAAAACCACAGAAUACUAACUUGAUACACUUUAAACCACAGGGUACUAAAGUGAUAAAGUGAGAAACCACAGGGUACUAACUUGAUACAUUUUAAACCACAGGGUACUAAAGUGAAAAAAUUGAAACCACAAGGGAGGUUUUUAAAGUUUUCCCAUUAAAAUAUGAAGCAACCAUUUACACUGUUGGUUACCAUGCUAGAUACGAAAAUAAAUUGAAGCCUCUCUGAAAAGGACCAAGAGUUCGAGUUAGUGUACCAAAUAAUGUCUUUGUCUAUUAGCACAGUUGUGUAAACACACUCCUCAUUAUGUGGGAUCAACAGGCAGAAAGAAUGAGUUAAGAAACAUUAACCAUAAAAAAUAAUAAUAAUAAUAAAAAGGGAGGUUAUAAGAACAAAGUAUAGAUUGAAAGAAUAGGGGAGACAAGGCACAAAGUUAGAACUUAGAACAAGGACCUCAUACCAAACACAGGGCAUUUAAGAACCAAUUAUUGAGCACCCAAUGUGCAACUUCACCCAGUUUAAGCACAUAAAUGAAAUAGAGAGAGAGAGACUAUGAUACAUAGGGAGGUGGGCAUGUGGGGGUCCUCAAAACCUCAUAUAUUCUCUCAUUCCAUGACCUACCACUAUGAAAGUGAAUCUUAUUUUACUCAAAAAGGGUAGAGAGAUUUCAACAGACAUUGAAAGCAUAAAUCUAAUGGACUGAGAAUGGUGGUAGCUCCUCUUUUGUAAAGGAGAUAUGGUGCAUCAUGUGAGAGAGAGGAGGUUGGUGGUGGUGGGCUCACCCCACGCUAAUCAUGCCUAUGCAAAGUCAUUUGCUACCACUCCAGUUACGAUCAACUUUGAUCGACCAGUUGGUAAGAGCACUUUUCUCUGUAUGAAAUAUCAUCCAAAUACUGAUAACACUACACACCUUUUGUGUUUAAGAAAGUAGGGGGUUUGGAAAAGUUAUGAGGAGAGAUACAGGACUGGGAAGAACUCUAGAGGGUCACUAACAAACCCCUUUUAAGAGAACAAUGAUUUAAAACGUAGACACUAGAAAUUGAUGUUGGAUGCAGACAACGAAGAGCUGAGAUUUGUAAAGAGUGGAUUAAGCUAAAAGAGAUCUCAAGAACAAAAAUAGCAAAAAAUUAAAGAAAGUGGAGUUGAUCGUACAAUUUUUGGAAGCAAUGUUUUGGUAACCCACACUUGCUGUAUUUCGAAAAAAAUCAAAUGUCGCUCAUAGGUUCAAUCAAACUCGUUCAUGCAUUAUUAUAGCUAGUUACUCAAAUGCGCCUGCGCCAUUCCAAAGUUCACUUACGAGAAUCCAUAAUAAAUUUUCCCAACAAUACAAACGGUAUAAUUUAUGAGAAUCUGCAUAAAAUCGCAUAAACAAAACAUUAUUCAGGUUAUGUUAACCUUAUACGGACGCAUAAAGACUCGUGAACCUGGGGCCCAUACGAAAAUUCUCUGCUCGUCUCCAACUUAAAUUUGAACUUCAGAAAGAGAACAUGUUGUUAUCCAUCAUGAUUUGAAAGUUUAAUAAACUAUAAGCAUAUAUCUUCACCACAAUAAAAGAGACUGGUACGGAACUCUCUUAGUAGAUGUGACAGGGCUAGAAAGAAGAUCAAAAGUAAAAAAAAAAAAGAAAAAAGAAAAAAAAAAAAGAUUAGUAGACACCUGCCAGAUUACAUCCAAUAAUGACAAAAGGAGCCCACUGGAUGAAGAGAAAAACAAAAAAAAAGCCCUCUUAAAGAAAAACCUGGGAUUUACAGCACUAUUUAUAUAGGGGAACUAUUUAACUUAGACAAUUUAUCCGACAAAAAUGACGGCAAAUUGAGUCAGUAGCAGAAACAAACAGAAAUGGGAAACCACCUUUGAAGGCGAAGCUGCUGACGAGUCCAUAGUGUUGGGCGCCUUCCCUGCUACCGCAGGGGCAACAGCAUGUCCGUUGGGGUUGCUCUGCUGCUCAUUUGUCGGCAAAGGGUUUUCGGGUCGGUUAUGGGGUGGGGUUGUUACAGGGAUGCUAGUGUCAAUAUCACGACCUGUGUUUAACAUACAAAUUGAUAAGCCAUAGCACAUUAUGUAGUCAAUGCACUUCAUGAGGUAGGCAUUAGGGUACAAGUUAUUCCAGUAAUAGCCAAUUAAUAUGUUAAUCAAAGAUAAUCGAAGAACGCUACACAGAAUGCGGUCUAAUUCCAAAAUAGGCAGUUUAAAUCAUUGCAGGAGCAGUACCGAAUAGCUUGCAAACUGACAUGAAUGAGGUGAACGGGAUAACUUACAAUCGGAUCGUGACCAUCCCAGCUUCGAAUUUUCUCUAUCAAAGACCAUAUGAUGUCCCGUCAUAAAAUUCUCUGCAUUCACAAUUGAGUUCUAAAUUAUACAGGAGCAAACAUAAUAAAAGACUAGGAAAAGAAGUGAUAUGAUUAGGAUAGUGCGGGGAGCUCACGCCCAAUAGUUGCCAGAUUUUCUUCUGAUGAAUUUACAGCUAAGCAAAAUCCAGUAAGCUCCCCCUGCAAAAUCCAGUAGCCUACUGAAUUAUUUAAGGCUAAUAUUAAGACAGUCCGGAUAUCAGCGAAGCAUAGAUUCACAACAAUUAGAAGGUUUGAUUACAAAAUUUUAUCAUUCUUACAAUCAUUAGAUCUUCAGAAAUCUUACAAGAAAUGACAGAUCCUCUUAUAUGAUGAUAUCCUCCUAUAGGAUGAUCAUCUAAUAGCAAACAACAGAAGAUUUGGGCAUAUAAUAACUUAUUUAACAACUUAAACUUAUAAAAUGAUUAAUAAUAGUGUCCAAGUAGAAGACAAACUUUUGAUAUGUGUACUUUCCUACAACAGAAGAAGAUAAAAUGUAUGGCAUACCUCUUUGCCAUUGAUAAGAAAAAGGGGAUUGGUAACCACGAAGCUCUUGUUCACAGCAAACAUAAGCGCCACAGUUGGUAUAUCGGGCAAUUCAAGAGGACUGCAGAAAUAGAAGCAACAGAGGUAAAACCACUAAGAUAACACACAGCAAAUGUUCCUUUGAAUGAUUGAAAGGUUUACCUGGCUUUGUAGCAGUACUCCCACGGAUAUCCAAGAAAGGCAUACCUCGAAUAGUUAACUUGCCUGUCAAACUACAAAAAUUAAAGAUAAGCCGAUGUCUACAUUCACACACGGGAAAAGGCGGGAAAGAAUUCUCAGGGACUAAAAGAAGUACCUCCAGGGUGACUCUCUUGUAGGCAUCAUUUGGAAGAUAUGUGAAUGACGACCCACUAUCAACAAGUGCUUGCAUGCUUGUCUCUCCAACACACUUAGCACCGAUACAAAAUCUCUCCACCUCAACGAUAUAAGUAAUGCUGAACCAUACAAAAGACAACAAUUAGGGCGUGUUUGGUUCGAAGUCGGAAUCGGAAUCGGAAUCCAAAUAAGCUGGAUCGGAAUCGGAAUCGGAAUCGGAAUCGGAAUCGGAAUCACUCAUUAUCUAAUUCUGCUUGGUUCAUUACCUGAAUCGGAAUCGGAAUAAAUCAUUCCUAUUGUCGGUAUUUGGUUCAGAUAGAUAUAAAAACGUAAUCAAUUUAAUAUACUAACUUUAUCUUUAUAAUAUAUUAGCUUAAAUUCAAAUUAAAAAUUAAAUAUUAAAAAUUUACAUCAAAAUUUUGAAAUAAUAUCAAAAUUUUAAAUCUAUUUUUUUAAAAAAAAUUAAACUUCGAAGUUGAGUGGAUAAUUCAAAAUAUGAAACUAAAUUUUGAUUUAUUCAAAUUCAAACAUAAAAUUACAAUUUAAAUUUUAAUUUGAAUCCAUAAAUUUAAUUUAAGUUUUAAAUAAAAUUUGAAUAAAACUGUAUAUAAAUUAAAAUUUAAUUUAAAUUCAAAUUCAUAAGUUAGAUUCGAAAUACUUGAUUAAAUUUUAAUUUUUAAUNAUAUUUAAUUUCUAAAUUUAAACUCAUAUUUUAAUUAAAAAAUUUAAAAAAAUUAAUUUAAUCCGAAUAAAUAUCCAUUCCAUCCGGAUUCAACUUCCUAGGCCGGAUUGGAAAAAGAGGUGAUUGGGAGAUUCCCAUUCCACUCAGGAAUCGGAAUCGGAAUGGGACUCCUGCGUACCAAACACCCACAAACAGAUUUGUCCAUUCCGAUUCCGAUUCCAAGGUAAAAAAAAAGCGAACCAAACAUGCCCUUAAGAGUUUGCAGGAAGGAUUAUACAGAACAUUCAUGCAUGACGAGAUAAAUUAAGCAUUACUGCAGCAUAUCAGGUGAAGACUUUAAAACAGCCUUGAAUUAACUGAUGUUGUUUAAGAUCAUGCUACAAAGUAUAUGCUAAUCAACAGCAUAAAGCAGGAGAUAUCCUGACAAAGUUAUCGGUACCUAGAAAGUAGAAAGAUUAAUUGAAUAGAAAAGUUGAUAAAAUUCUUAAAAAUGGGAAAAACACAAAAAAGGAGCAAACAUGUACGUCCUUAAAUAUAAGGCGAUCAACACGUAUCAUAAUGGCAGUCCAUCAACACAAGAAAUUGCAUUUUCCAAAGCACUUACUAUUUUCCAUUCGCAGGAACAAAAGGAGUAGAUUGUUGUGUAGAGACACCUUGGUCCCCAAAGAAGAUUCUUCCAGAAUCAUCCUCCUGAAAGCACAUUGAAAAAGAAUCCCGUACCAAUCCAGCCCAUGCAAGGAAGCUUGGAACCGAUAUAUCCCCAAAUCCCAAACCAAGAAGCCCGUCUGGAGCAACUCCAUCCAAAUAAUCACCACUUUGCCUCCUUCCGCAGCUGCAACCAACAUUUGUAUGAUUUUCAAUACAGGACUCGUAUAAGAAAAUAUCUGACGGUAUACUAUAGACUCACCCUAUGAUAACUGAAGCUUGUACUGAUGUUCGGCCAUCACUGGAAGCCAAGUAUAGUGUAUCCUCGACUAGCAACCCUGAACUCGAUGUAUUUUCUGAAUAGUAGUUUAUAUUAUACGGGCAAGGUUGCUUUGGGCUUUUACAGCUUGGGCCUAGUUGACACAGUUUGUGGCUGCAUGGAAGAUGUCUGCUAGUUCUUGAUUCAGCUGGGCUGUACAUGCGGAGAUCUUUAUCCUGCAUAAUAGAUGCUCCAUAUACCAGGGAGCACCUGCCAAUCAAUCAUCGGAAAUAAGUGAUAAAACUGCUGUGAAAUGUUAGCAGAACACCCUCCUCUUUUUCUGUUUAGGGUUAAACUUAUCACGUGAAUGCACUAAUCCAGACAGCACGCAACCAGAUUUGAUUUGACUAGAAUGAUAAAAUUUAAUGAAAAUAUGCACGCAUAGAAAGAUAAACGGCCAGCAUGAAUUAAAUUCCGUACAUACACAUGCUGUAACACAGAAUCCCGCAACCUGCAUACAAAAGAUAGAUGACCAUACCAGCAAAUAUGCACGCACAAUACCCAUGAUUAUGAACAACAACAUGCAUGCUUACAAGCACAAAUGUUAUGUGGAAUGAUUACCGACAAUACUAAUAGAGAGCUAGAGCAGCAAAAUUGAGCAUACCAAACUACUAUGAUAGCCAGACAAAGGAGCACACUGAAUGCAAUCACAGGGGACCCAAAGCAGGUCACUUCCAGCAUCCAAUGCAACAAGAAAGGACACAUUGGGUGUCCCAAUAUCAAUCCAUGUGUAGUGUAACCUGUCCAUAUGAACGUCACGUGUAAGAGUUAGGUUGACGAUUCUCAUGUUGCUCAGAAAAAAAAUAAAAGAUACCAUCAUCAUCAGUACUAAACACAUGCUUAGCAUUUGGCAACAGAUAAAACGAUCAAAUAUAGAUGUUCAUUGCACAUAGAGAUAUGUAAAAUAAGUGAAACCAUAAAUAACAAAUUAUACAACCAGACAAGAUAAUGAGUAAAUAGCUUAGAUAACUGGUGUAAUAUAAUAUUAGAUGACACAGAUCUAAUGAUACUUUGGCAUUAUUAGGGAAAAGAAUAGUACAAAAUGCGCAUCCGCUAUGAUAACACCAGCAGUAAAGACAACCUAACUCUGCUUAUUAAUUGCAGAAACUGUCAAAAAUGAGAACUCCCCUAUUUUGCCUCAUCAGACAUUACUAGUAAGAGUUUGGCACGGCUCCAGAAACAGCUUCCCUAAUUGAAACUUGCCUACAAAAAUAAAAUAAAUAAAAUAAAUUCAAAGCUUUUCUCACUUGAGUGGGAAACAGAAACAAGUUUCUAGAGGCCCAAAAGGCAGAAUCUCCAAUUUAAAUAUAUUGCUCUCCUGGCCGCAAUGGUGAACUGUUAAAGAUGCUGCAAAAUAGAGCUUUUUUUACUUAAAAGACACUACUGAACAACACUUCUAAACAGCUCUAUCCAAGCCAAAUUGGCCCAUAGAAAGCACAAAUGCUGUGAAAACUAACCCCAAUCCAUCCCAGCACAAAAUACAGCAAAAUCUCACAGAAAUUUCCCAAACCAAUUACACAAGACAAAUUAACUCAGGAAAAGGAGGUGCUUUUCCCCUACAUAACAGUACCACAUUGUCCCUCUCUCUCCCCCGCCCCCCCCUCUUUAUUACUUCAUUAAUUACCAUACAAGUGCAAUACAACAAAUAUAAUAUAAUAAGAAUUAAAAUGCAUAGGACAAACAAGCCAAGGCAAUAAAGGGAUCGAAUCGACGCACCAUCCGAAGUCGUUCCCAAGCGAAAAGGUUUGACUCCCCUCCGAAGGGUACAGCAUCUGGUAUCGGCCCCCGAGGCGCCGCUUCUGCCGCGCGAGGUCGCUCCUCGCCAAGACCUCGAAGUACUCCGCGCUCCUCCGGAUCGGCCACCUCCCUCCUCCCGGAGACGACGCCGCCGCGGCGCGUGCCUCGUCUGAGAACCGGUGUACCAAUCUUGAGGAGAAGGUGAGCGAACGCGAGCACCACGGGAGCGCGCUCAGCGCCACGACCAUGGCGAGGAAGGAGAACGGCGCCAUGGAAAACCUCAGAUCCAAAGUGCGGGGCGAGUGGGAGGCUCCGAUCUACGACUGCGGGAGCCGGCGAGCGCCGUGUGAGCCGUUGUUGGCGGAGAUCGUAGGCGACGGAGACAGGACCCUUGAACGGAGCGGAGGGGAGAGGAAAGCUCUAAGGUUAGGGUUUUAGGGGCGAGAGGGGAAGAGGGCGCGGGGGAGAGAUCUAGGGCUUCGUUCGAAGUCUUAGUGGGUCGGUAGGCUUUGAGCGCAGUGCGCAGAGCGAGUGUGAGAGCGCUUUUCUUUUGUUUCUUUCCCCACACACACUCUCUCUCUCUCUCUCUCUCUCUCUCUCUCUCUGGGACUCGGCGAUAACACGAAAAAAAAAAAAAGCGUAUUGAGUUUUACGCACAAGCCCCCCUCAACGUCAAUAUUUGCAGAGAGCUCCAUUACGCUGUUUUUAAACAACAGGGGCGGCCGAUGUUAUUGCGAUGCCAACGGCGACGUGUCGACUGUCGAGAGUACUACAACCUCUAGAAGAGGGCAAGGUCGAAUAGAAGAGAAUAAGAGGGCUUUUCUGUAAUAGAAGGGGAACUGGCCCCGAGAGCUAAUCGGAUCCGCUUAUGGCGGUGGUCCCCACUCUUUGGACGAACCAGAUUGUCUGGUCAAAGUCAGGGUCUCGUUGGACGCGUCACUUUGUACCCAGGGGUGGUGGGACUGGUAGCGGCGUGGUUGCUCUCCCCAGGAGGGGGGAGAGAGAGGGGAAGAGGGUGGUGGUGGAAUGAGGAUGGAUGGACACGUGGUUGGUCCCGAGUCGGGAGGUGGGGUUUGUCCGCUCGCUUACUGCACCGUCUUUUCGCAUCCCCGGGUGGGUGCCGGGUGUCGCUUUACCGGUUUACCACUUUCGGUUACGCCAGCUGCAGUGAGUGGCUAUUCUCACGCUCUCCCUGUCGUCACAGUUUCUUUUAUUACAGUAUACGAGCAAUUACUCCAAAACAACAAACAUAAAUUCUCCCUAAACUACAGAACACAUAAGCUUAAUUAGUUGUAAAUUAGACUAGAUUUACAUAAAAAGGAGGGGGGGAAAUAUGAACAGUAAAGGGUGUCGACUUAUAUUUCCAACGAGUACGGUCAAUUGGAAACAAUCGAAUUCAAAACAAUGUUAAAAAUGACACAUCCAAACUGGGCCAGAAGCGCCGCAGAUUGCGAUAUACACACACAGCAAAAUUUUAUUAGCUCGACACUCAAGAGCCGUUAAUUUACAGUAUGCUCAGUCGACAAACAGAGAGGUAAAUUGAGAAGUUAUCGUAACAAAAGAGUACCUGCUAUAUGCGCCUGGAAUUGAUAUAGAGCCAAAUCCCCUGCUGUAGAAGUAAAUUAGAACUAAGAGAAAGUAAUAGAUGUGGCGUAUGAUUGAAGAAGGGCGAGAGUUUGCUCGGCUAUCGCCCGACUCCUCGCCCGCAUCACCCACUCAACUAUGACUUCCGAGGCUUCGCUUCCGUGCACCCCUUCUUCCAAUGCCUCCGCUGCCUCCGCCAAUUUCCCAUCCGACAGAAAGUUCUCCACUCUCGCGAUGACCGACUCAAUGCCGUCUCCAAGCUGAUCCUCUUUCAUCUGAAAAUUCAUGUGAGGAAUUUGAAUUAAAAGUAGGAUCCAACUUUUGCUUGUUUUCCACUGGCAGCCUGCCUAAUGGAAAUGACAAACGACACAGCCUGUAAGACAAAUUGUGGAUCUGCUUCACUUCAUUUACCUUAAUGGAAGAAGCUACGUGAGCUACGGCAUGAGCUAGGAUGCCGCCGCCGCCAGCCGGUAUGAGGCUAAAAUGCCUAAGAGUUCCUUUCAAGGAGUUGAACUGCAAACAUACAACUCACAAUGAAACAGUACUUGAGAAAGAUGUUAAAAAACUGCUGUUUAUAACAAGAAACAUGAAAGCUAAAAUAAUGCGGCCAACAUGGACUCACUGAAAAAAAAUGUAAACCUAUUUAUCAUUGUUAUCACUGUAUUAAGUUCGGGAAAAUAGAAGGCAUGCUAACCCAUCAUCAACAUGGCCAACAACUUGCCUUUUGAUUCAGCUUCAUUUGAGUGUCUGUUCCAUUGUCCAGUACUUGUUCUGGUAGGGUUGAAAGUGCAAGUUCUAGCAGCGAAUCUUUAUCGAUACCUUCAAGAGACUUGCGCAAGGAAUCUACCUCUGUUCGAACUGGUAGCCCUUUCGACAGAGCUUCUUCCAGGGCAAGUGUUCCCUGCAAGAUCCAAAUACAGAGGGCAUUUCUAUUAAUAGCGUAACUCCCAAAUUAGUAACAUGUGUAUAAAGCUACGAGACACUUUUGGGUCGAGUUAGCGAGCACAAGUGAUGUACAACCCACCAAGGCAAGCUUGUGAACGGAAUGGCUCUGGCGGGCUUCUUCAGAUCUUGCAUAAAAUGCCAUGCACAAGGCAUUGAUCUAGAAAAUGAUACAAACCAAGGAAUCAUCAAAGAACUAUCUCGAAUAAUGGCAAUUCCAGAUAUAAACUAGCAGGAGAUGCUUGCUCACAUAUGGUAAUAAUGGAGAAAAGUACAUAUUAAGGUGGGACAACAUAUUUCAUACAUUAAGAUUGGCUUCGGCAAUCCUCUCAAUCUGGGCUGCUUUCUCCUUUGCGAUAGCUCCAGAUAGUUCAGCUUUCGCCAACUCCUGAACUUUCUCAAGCUGCUCUGCAGUUUCCUCCUCCUGAAAGCAGGAUAUGACAGAAAUUAAUUAUUUAAGUGCGGCGGCUAGCAUAGAGGGCCUAAGGAACAGAUGUUAGCAGAAGCUAGAAACACUAACCUUACGUUUCAGUUCCUCUCGAAGAUUUUGUUCUGCUUUUUCUUGAAGUGUCUUAAUGGCAGUGGCUGUCUUCACCUUCUCUUUCUUCAACUCCUGAAUAAACCGGUGAUAAGGACUCUACCAUAAGGUAUAGAUACUUGAUCAUUAAAGUCGUGUGUUGCAGUAUUUCUAACCUAACAGCAAUAAGAGCACUACAGCUUCGCUACAAAAUUAUCACAUGAAAGUUACAAGUAAAUGAUUGUCUUCAUUCAUGCAUUUGGCUUAAUUAUCACAUGAAAGUUACAAGUAAAUGAUUGUCUUCAUUCAUGCAUUUGGCUUAAUUAUGCUCAAGACUUAAAGUGCUCCACAGCUUGAAAGUUGAAAUAUACCGAAAGGAUUCCCACCAUAAGGAGAUUAACUAAAAUGAAGAAUCAUCCAUUAACACUGGACACAUACACAGAUGACUUUGUAAACAUGCAUGUAAAACCCAUUGUACAAUCUUAUAAUCCAUUUACACCGAACAUUCAUCGCAGUAACUAAUAAACUAUUCAUCAAAAGUAUUCAUCCAGCAAGCAAAUCAACAGAAGCAUCCCAAAGAAAAUACAACUAACGUAGUAAAACUUGCGCACUUGAUGGAAGUUUAUUUGCACAUAGAAUAAAACAAAAUGAGUUCUAAAUCUAUUAAUUAAAGCAAACCAGAAGAACAGAAAUGAAGCUCAGACUAUAAACAUAUUGCUACCACACUGGGUAAAGCGAUACUACUACUGUUGCAGAUAUAAGUAAACUUAAACUGGGUGCUAGACAAGUUUAACAAAACAACCAUACGUUCAGUAUAAUCAACACAAUAAAAUUAAUGAAAACAUUUAAAAACUCAAAAUGUCAAAAUAAAUUAGCUUAUCACAAUUUUCAUGUAUGACAGAAACCUUCUCCAAAAUGGCGACCUCUUCAGCAAACAUAAGUUCCCUGGCCCUUGCGUCCUUCAGUUCCUUUUCAUAUUUCUCCUAAGGCAAAACGAAAAAAAAGGAAUAUGAGUAGCUUGAUGCGUGCUUAUAACGACUAUUUCCUCUCUAGCAUAUGUGGUAAUUACUAGGGCUGAAAAAAUAAAAAAUGCAUGCAUAAAGACAAAGAAGUUAAAUGGAAGAUGGAUAUUAAGUUACACAACAGAGCAAACCUUCAACAUCCUUUUCUCUUCAGAAAACUUGUAAGCAUCUGAUUCAGCUUGCUUUCUUUCAGCAGCAUGAAUAGCAUCUAUAAGAUCAAGUAGUAUUCUCCCAUCAUCAGAUAAUUUUUCGUCAACUGGAGUUUCCUUAUUAGCAACUAAAGCCUACAUUAUCCAACAUAAAGAAUGCAAAAGUUAGUCGAAAAAUAAAAUAUUUAAUAUUUAGCUAGUAUUGGGGGGGAAGAAAAAAGACAUAGACAUGGCUUUGCCAAGUUCUUGCCAUCAAAUAACCUCUUUAUUACUAGAAAAUGCUGCUACAGCAUCAGCACCCUCGCCUUUAAUCGAAAUUUCAGGCUUCCCCUCAUCAUGUAGAGAGUAUGACUCAGAGAGGGACUUAGGUGCUACUGUUUCAGCAUCUAGCUGAUCCUGCAAAAAAGAAUUAGAUCGAUCUUUCAGAUAGCAAAUUGCAAAAUAACACUGUUCUUCCAAACCAAGAAAUGAUGAUCUCUUAUCCCACAAGUAAACUAAGUAGCAUUUUCUAAAUACAGGAACUUAAUUUGAACCCAAAUGAAAUCGCAUGCCAUUGCUCCCUCAAAUUGAUAGACUAGAUUAAUUUCAAGUUACAUAUCUUAUUUCACUAUACUUUUCUUCUUUUUCUUUAUCUCAUUUUGCUCUUUUCUUCACUUAAGGUAUUCAACUAACAUCAAUGAUCUAAACGUUAGCAUUCUAUGAUUGGGGCUAUUUUGCAUUAAUUCAUAAUACAAGGAAACUCAGAGGCAUAAUAGCUGUCAAGUAUCAUUCAAUAUCAUCGUGAGAUACAUUAUAAGUAGGAAAACAUCUUCUUGCAGUAGGCCACGGUCGAAAUCUGCGUAUUACAUGACUCGUCUACAAUGCAUGAAAUUAGAGAAAUAGAAAACUAUGCCGCAUGAACUGGUUAUGCCACUACAAAAUAACCAAAGAAAAGAGAAUCAUGAGAGCAUAUAUCUAAAUGAGAAUCAAGAACUACAUAAGCUCGUACCUUCGGCAAUUCCGUAUGCUUAUCAUGAUGAGAAGCAGCUUCCAGCACACCAGAUUCUCCUGUAACAAUAAUUGAUCCGUCAAUUCCUUCGCUUUCAUUAGAGAUUCCAGGGAUCGCCUUUUCUUCCACAUACAGUUCUUUGCUAUCUAAGUUCGGGUUGCUUUCAGAUAACAGAUUAGAAACACUUGUUUGAUCAUCUGGGACUUGAACAGUCUCCUGAGGAAGGGUUUCCGGUUCUUUUUCUUGGGCAGGUGCAGACUCCUCCUGUGGAGGCGGUAUCUCCGAAACAACUUCCUCGUUGACCUCAAGAUCCUUAGGAAGAUGCAACUCAUUGUAAACCUCCACAGUUUCUGUUUCCGGCUCCAGUGCGCUUUGUUUUCCAUCGACCGUAACACCAUCUUGCCGAGCAGCAUUUUCCAGAUUCUCCGGCAUUUUGAUAACAUUUUGUUCGGCAGUGCCGACAGUAGACUUUCCGUCCUUAACCUUAAGGUCUAUAAAGCCAGCUUGGUAAGCCGCCAUUGCGGCAGCACCGACAACUACACUACCGAGAACAAUCUUCGACAUACUGUUUCUCGCAUUAGGAGUUUCUUCCACGGGGACAGUUUUUUGAGACGGAUUCUGUUUAGGAGCAUUCGAGAACUCGUUUCUUGACGUUCGUAGGAACGGCAUCUGCUUCGUCAUGAAGAAGAUCAUUUAUUACUACCAUUGAACUGGUUAAAAUAAAAUAGGCCAUUUCUCGACAAUAAUAUAAAAGAAUAUAAGGAAAUUAGGGCAUAAUCUUUUGUCAUCUACCGAGGAAUCAAGAAUUAAAACCAAAGCUACAAAACUGAGAAACUGAUGAGGAAUGAGUACACGCCUGAGCCGUGACCGGCCGAGGGAUCCUCCGAAGGGACCGGCCCGAGGAGAGAUCGCGAAUGCACCUGCAACAACAGCGAAAGAUGAUAACAGUAACAACAACGAUCGAACUAUGCAUAUAAAUGCCUAGAGAAAGGAAUAGAGGUGAACGAAGAGACGAGGAGAGGAAUCAUAUAUGAAACCCUAAUAGGCACCUGGCGAACAUGGCGAAGAGCUAAGGAGUGAACGGAUGUUUCCUGCUUGAGGGAACGGAGAGGAGGAGAGGGGACGAUGCGAGAGGGUCGAUCGCUUCUCCUCGCCUUGAUUCGCGACCGAUCCUCGGCGCAGGAGUUGGGACCAAAAACCUCUUCGAGCGAGGAAAAAGAAAGGGUCGGCCCAUCAACUAAUCUGCACCGGAUGGGCCGGCCCAUUAAGAUAAAUGGUCUCUCAUUGAAUUACUGGACCAAUACAUGUCCCAGAGUUGACACCAAUAACCCAAUAAUUUGGACGGUGAUGGAUCAAUGGAUCAAAUUUUGUCAGAAGCUAAAACCUCCUCCUUUGGUUUUUUUUUUUUUAAAUAGACCUCUUUAUCGAUACAUAAAUAUCGAAUAAAUUGCAGGUAAUAUACAUCAUCUGCCUACAUGCUCUGCCACACAGUAACUUUUGAUGUAACAUUAUGACCACAGAUAAAUCGGUACCAAAAUACUAGUUCUUUGAGAUUGGUAGAAAACAUGAAGCAAGCCAACUGACUUAAAACUGGUUUUGUGCAACCGGAAAAGGUGCGGUCAAUUCAAAAGGCCAUCAAUACAAGUUUUGGUGAAAGGUUAGUUUCUGAUAUGAUUCUGAAAUCAAGUUAGGAUUGCAGCAGCUGCAUUGCUUGUGUUAUCUCAGAUCAUAGAAAGCUGGCAAAUUUACCAGCUCUUACAAGUGAUGAAGAAUUCUGAUUCAGUUUUGAAGCUGAAUAUGCUUCUGUAACACCUUUUCCUUCGGUAUCAGGGCGUUCUUCGGUCUUUCCAUUGAGCUAAUCCUGCAUAUAAUUCAAAAGGAUUCCCAAAUCCAGUAUACUUCCAGAUUACAACAGAUCGCUUUUAACAAAUCAAAACUACAGAGCACAACAGAAGAGAAGAAAACCAUCACUUUAUCAUUGUAUCUGAGGAUGGUAGAAUCCCAUGCCGGGCGGUUGCAGCGGCCUAAAACUGGGCAUAGCAGGCUGCUGAAGAGCACUGAACUGUGGCCCAUGUUGGUUCAUUGGCAUUAGCUGCUGAGUGACCGGCAUCUGUUGCUGAUUCACCCCCAGUGGCUGGGGUGGUGGUGGCGGCACCGGCGGCUGCUGAAUUAAUGUUGCAGGCCUUGCAAGGCCCAUCAUCCCGGGAGGCGGCAGAGGAGGCGGCGGUGGCGGCAGAGUUAAGGUAUUGUAAGUGUACGGCAUGCCGAUUAAAACCCCUCCUGGUUGCUGCAUAAACUGCUGUGCUGGAGAUGGGAAGAGAUUGAACUGACUUUGUGGCUGAUGUAGGGUCGAAGAAACAACCACCGGCUGGACAGGAACAAAGGAAGUGGAGGCAGAAUUUGAAAGUUGUAAGGUCUUUUCUUGUAUUUUUGUUUUGCUUUCUGAAGGGGCAUCGGGGACCGAGUUAGAUGAAUUGGUGGAAGGAGCCAGGCUAGCAUUCUUGGCUUCCUCAGCGGCAAAGGAGGAGAGGACUGACGUCAUGAUCUGCUGGGAGUGCAUGGACGCUGCAAGACGGUCAGCAACCUCAGCAGCGGUAGCCAAAGCUGCCUUCUUCUUAGAUGGCCGAUCCACCGAUGAGGGCCCGUUUGCAUGUUGUUUGGCUGCUUCAGAUGAAGAGGGCGUCUUUGUCGAAGUCACUGUUGGUUCAUUGUUGAGCCGCCUUCGCAUGUUAGCGGUUUCACCUAUCAUUCCCUGAGCCAGCUGUCAUGAUUACAAUAUUACAAGUAAGACAUAUUCCGUCGUCGGAGUGCUUAGUCCUCCCAUUAGGGGGAAAAGUACUAAAAAACUGCUGUUUGGAUGCAUGAGUUUACGGUUCAGCACAUCUCCUAUGUUGUACUCAAGGGGCAUGUUAUAAUAAAUUGAUGGAAGCAUGAAAAGAAGACAAUAACCGCAUAGAGUACACAUCAUUUAAAUCAUUUCUCAGAAUAUGAGAAAUCAUCUCAUAGUUGAAAUACAGUGCCCUGAAAAUUCACGAUUAUGACUAUGUAAUGGAGUAACAUGAAACUCAUAGGUACCAAUUACAAAAGAAAAUCCACAUAUGUUACAAGAUAUCACCAAACAACUUGUUCUAACAUCCAAACAUGCACUAUAGAGGUUUAAUAUGCAUCGUACCUGUAAUUGAGUCCGAACCUUCUCCAGUUCAGAUUCCUGAAAAACUUAACCUUGUGAAAAACCAGCCAACCAAUUCUAUAAAAAAAAUAUAAAUAUACAAGUUCUCAUGGAAAACCCUGAUGUUGUAUUCGUCUGCAUGGACGGACUCAAAAUCUGCAACAAGCACUGUGAUAAAGAAUAUAAAAGUAACAAAGUGAAACCUGUUCAUGUAACGCUUCCUUCAACUGAGAAACAAGGGAAGCUCUAUUUGCUUCAACUACUUUAAGCUUUUCUAAGCACUGUUUCAAAACAGCCUCCUCUUCCUGUAACUCAUUUGCCAACGUCUCCCUGCGAGGGUCCCCAACUAAAAACCGGAUAAUGCAUUCAGAAUAUGCCAACCAUUUUGAAAUGAAAUAUCCAGCAUACACAUAACAGCCUUUAGGAAUGAGGAAAAGCAUAUAAUGAAUAACAACUGAUAACUAAUCAAAUCACCUUGACUACAGGCAGUGUCAACGUCUUUCGCCAUCUUCUCAACACGGCGGACAGCGGCCUUGCAUUUGUCUAAGUCCACGGCCUCAUUGGUGUGUUCAUUUUGAACAGUGUGGAAUGCAGAUACUAUUUUCUCCGGUGUUCCUCCAAUAGACAGUUUCUGGUUGAAGAACGGUAAUUCAUUUAAUCAAUCCUUAAACAAAAGUUGGCAGAUAUAAGCUUUAAAAAAGUGAAAGAAGGUGAUGUUAGAGAAUGGUAAGCUUACAGUUCUUAUAGAACGUGAAUCUUUUCUAACAAUUUUCACAGAACUACGUGAGCGUUUCUUGUUCAAUUCCAAUGUAGGUAAUGGUUCAUUUCCAAGCAUCAAAUCAUUAAGGCCCCGAGCACGUGAACCAAAAACUCUUCUCUCUUCCCAUAUGUUGACCUACAAUAUUCCACAAGCUGGUCCGAUAUAAAUAUCUGAUAAGAAGAGUUUCUCAAUUUUCACUCAUCAUGUACAACAGAGCUUAAACAUAAAAAAUGCCACAAACAAUGAUUCUUGACCAUCUUACUGCAGAUGUUAACAUUCCCUUCAAUUCCAUUACUACAAUCUCAAUGGUCAAACACAAGUAGCUUCUGAAAAAAUUUCUUGAGAUUGGAUACAUUAGCUAGCAAUGAUGCAAAGAAUAUCACACUAAAACAUAAACAAUUUGUAAAUUUUACGGCCAUCACAACGACCAUCUUUAGUUAAGAAUCAGCCAUAUUUGCUAGGAAAUGAAUAACAGUGGUGCCAAGAACACUUGCUGUAAUCAGAUAAACAUUCAUGGUACGCACCAAUCGAGAUACUACAUUUUUGCCGUGAUCAUCACCAUUAUCAACGACAUCCUUAAGUGCAGCUGGAAGAACCUUCCAAAAUUCACCCACGAAUUCUGUACCAUUACGCUUGCUAUUCUGUAAUAUGUCAUUGGCAAGAUAUAAAUAGGGAAUCUUCCGCUCCUUUUCGGAACUAUGGAAUUGUUUAUCCCAUGUUUUAACAACCUGUUCCGCAUUCUUUCGGUGAAAAAUACACCAAUGCGACAAAGCUAUUCACAAAAUAGGAGUUAGGGUCCAUCUUAGUAACAACAUGCAAACAUAAUUAGGCUAAGAAGACACCAGCGCACAAUCUGUCGGGACAUACGAUACUUUUAUUACAUUAUUUCUUUUCGCAGGAAAGCCCCAAAAAGAGACUUUUGUCUCAUUCUUAAAACUACAAUUUUAUUUCAUUCUUGAAACUAGACUAUGGUUACUUAAGCCAAAAAUUGCAUCUAAUCAUGCUUAAUGUAUGAUAACAUACCAAAAAUUAGGUUUUGAAUUCUAAUAUAAUAACCGAGAAUACUCAAAACAUCAUAACAAUAUGCAAAUAAAAGAAGAAAAAAAAAAAGAGCAAAAGGAUACUCUCGAUGCAUUGCUGAGUGCUAUUGAGCUUGGAGAGCUUAUCCGCAAGUAUCUGCUCGCUGAAAACGCUAUUCAUCCCAACUCAAAGCGUAACAAGCACCCUUUCCUUGAGCUCCACAAAGAUAUCUCCCUCGACGCUCCGCGGCGACAGUAGCAACUUCUCAAGAUAACUACAAGAAUCGAUUUUUAAGCCCUAAAAUCGAGCGAUUAGAUCGAAUUAUCUCGAUUAUCAUCAAAGAUGGUCUUGGAAACUAAAUUCGACGCGGGAAAUGCGACAACGAAGAAAACCCUAGAAGCGAAUGGAUGAGAAGCGAACCUGGAUGCUCUCUUCCGCGCUGGCGAUGCCGCGGCGAGAUCUCAAAGCCCUAGAAAUGGGAUCGCGGGAAAGAGGACCACAGCUAGGGUUUUCGACGUUCCGAGCGUUCCAAUCUUUUAAAUUUUUCGAUUCGAUCGAAACUUCCCCUCUUUUCUUUUCUUCUUUUUUUUUUUUUUUUUUUUUUUUUUUUUUUUUUUUUUUACCCAUCCCAAAUUGUAAGAGGGUAUGUGGGCCACGAGUCUCAUAGAAAACAGCCCGUUGGGCUUCUUUCUAAUUGCGGUUAUACAAUCCGAACCGUUGAUUCGUUAGACGUCAUCAACUCCCUUUUCUAUUUUUUCUUUGUUUUUAUAUUCCUUUUUUUUUUCUGUCCGUUGGAUUCCCAAAUUUCAAACUGGACUAUAAAUUAGCAUUCGAACUUCAUAAUUUAACAUCAUCAAAAGUUUUUAAAAUUAUUUUUUUAAAACCAUUCAUGUGGAAAACUCAAUGUAAAUUUUUAGAUAGUUUAUUAAAAUAAUUGAAUUUUAGGUCGUUACAGUUCAAAUGGUGUAAUUGAAACAAGUUCCACUUCCACCUCCACUCCAUCAUUUGAAACGAACUCGUAUCAUUAGAGAUGAUCUAGUCACCCAUUUAGGAAUUCAUUUUUUUUAUCAACCAAUUUAUGGGGAGCUCGACCUUUCUCCAAACCCCUAACUCAAGGUAAAUGCUGCAACAACAUGUUAGGUUAAUUAAGUAUCAAACGCAGCAUGACAGUUAAUUGCUUUAAAUUCGCGCACGGAUUAGUGCGUAACAAAAAUUGUUACUUCACCAGAAAACACACCAAAUAGUGGAAGAAGUGCAUUCCCGAAGAUGCUUCGACAUCAACUGAUUUCAUAAUUUGUAGGCAGAGAAACGGAACACGCAUUGCUGUUUUCAUAAUCGACAUAACUUGAAAUAGUUUCUCUAAAAGUAGUUGAUCAUUAAACAGUAGCUCAAAAGCUAGUGAGUCAUUGUCCACAAGUAACACAUUAUUAACUGCAGUUGAAUUUUACAAAAAUGAAUAUUCUCUUCAACAUUUCAAGACUCGCCGAUAGAAGUAAUCUCUUAUCGAGAUUGGAAGAUAGUAGAGAAUGGCGAGAACAUUUGAUAGAUGUCCGUAAGAGAACCAAGCGGGCGGGUUCUCCUUGAGAACUAAGGCAACGGUCUUCUUUGCGAACUCUUCGGCUGGAGUAGACUUGGGGCCCUGAGAGAGAUCGGCCCUCGAUCUGAUAGCGGCCUCGAAUGGCUUGUAGAACUUCCACUCGGGCAUCUUGCUAUAGUUGGCUAGGGAGGCAUUUCCUAAGUGUGAUUUAAUAGCACCAGGAGCGACAUUUAUAACGCUAAUUCCAAAACUCCGGAGCUCCAAUCUGCAAUGUUGGAGAAUGUUUGAUUUAGUAGAGUUGUGAGUAAAGUUCCAUCUAUGAAUUCAAAUGAUAUAGUAGUAUAAGAAUGAAAGAAAAUGCGAGAUAAGAAUAUGAAUGUGAAUUGUUGCAUCUCCUUCACUUGCAGAAUUGAGAUGCUUUUUUUUUGUAGGUUUGUGUGCAGGAAAAAUGAAAAAAAGAAGGGUAAAAAAAAAAACGCUUCAGGAAAGGGGGGAAAGAAAAAUGACAGCUUCUAAUGUUAUUUUUCAGAACGAAAAACUUGUUUAUGGACCACAAACUGAAAGGCCAUUCCAGAUUUCUCAUUGGCUUUUAUCUUCUCAUAAGUUCAUAGAAAUAAUCUUGUAUCCAUAUUUCCAACAUCACACACACGGUACUAACAUUAUGGGUUACAACUAGAAUAUCGUUAAUGGAGAUCGCAACAUAUUUCAAGACCAACAGCAAUAUAGUUAUAAAACUUUUCCCAGCAUAGAUUUUCAUUUGAAUCACAUGAUUAUGUUGCAAGCAAAUAACUACCCCACAAGAUACGACCGCAUGCUGUUUACAGGAGAAUUCAUUGUUACAACAAGUAGAACUAACUGUGCACGAACGCGCUUAUCAGAAUAAAGGCGAGAACAAUUAAAUGAUUCAAAGAGAAAUUGAUGAAUGUUGAGAGGAGACCUCAAAGUAUCAGUUAAAGCAUGAACAGCAGCUUUGGAUGCCGAGUAAACACCUGCCCACGGUCCAGGGGCCAACGCACUGAUGCUUCCCACAUUCACAAUCUUACCCUUUCUUCUCACAAUCAUGUGGGGAACAACAGCUUGAAUUAACUUCAUGGGACCUGCAGAAGAAUUGCAGAUAAAAAGACUAAACAAACAACUUGCUUUGUCACAAUAAAUUUAUCAAAUCAGAAGAUCAUGCGGGGAACAACGGCUCAAAUUAACUUCUCACCGGGCCUGCAGAAAAUUGCAGAUAAAAAUAUCAAAGUGAAAUAAAGAAGAAGAUGCUUUUCAUCAUCCUGCUGAGUUGUAUUCCAAGCUAGCCAACAAUAUUAAUAGUACGAAAUAGAAUUACUAGGAGAUAGCAAGAUGAUUUAAUCGAGUAAUAUGGACAUAAACAAAUUUGUCCCUUCCCUCGUUCUUUGUUCAUACAAAGAACCAAUUUUGGGUUCAGUGUUUGUCAAUUCGAGCUCCAAAACCAUGACAAAUUGACACAGGAAUAUAAUCAAACAGGUGGCGGCUAUCAACAUCAACACACACAAACUACCAAAUGCAAAACAACCGAAGUGGAAUGUGUUGGGAUUAAAGCGAAUUUCAAAAAGACGUACGAUAGAGUGAGUUGGAAUUUUUUAAGAAAGGUACUGCUAUGGCUUGGGGCAAGUCAAAAGUGGUGUGACUGGAUUGAUCUCUGCAUUACCAAUGCCAAAGUUGUUCUACUGGUUAACGGUGUACCAACUAAGUGGAUUAAAACCAAAAGGGGCUUACGGCAAGGCGACCCGCUGUCUCCUUAUUUGUUCUUGUUAGUAGCAGAGGGUUUAGCCAGAUUGACUCAACAAGCCGUUCGUAAUGGAUUGUUGAGAGGCGUUGGGCCAAACGAAAACACCAAAAUAGCUAUCUUACAGUACGCUAAUGAUACCAUCUUUUUCUGUGAAGCUAAAAGAAGGCAAGUAAGAAGCCUCCUUUUCAUAUGGCAAAUUUUUGAGUGGGCGUCUGGCUUAAAACUUUAACCGAAGUUAGAAUUAUUCUAUAUGGGAGAGAACAAUCACCUCGGUAGAAAGCUUGCAACGGUCCUGGGAUGUAAACUAGGGUCACGCCAUUCGCAACUUGGGUUUACCAUUAAGGAUCGGAAGACUGCGAAAAGAGGACUGGUGGGUCAUUAUUGGUAAAAUGGAGAAACGGAUCGAAGGGUGGCAAACUAAACUUUUAUCACAAGACGGUAGACUGGUACUUGUGAACUCAGUUCUUUCGAAUCUGCCUCUGUAUUAUUUCUCGGUUUUCAAAGCACCCAAGUGGGUAACACGUCGAUUAGAAGCGUCGCAAAGAGCUUUUUUCUGGCGAUGGGUACUUGCGGGGGGGCCAUUGCCUAGUGCACUGGAAAGUUGUGUGUAGGAGCAAAAAGGAAGGCGGUUUAGGAGUUAAGGAUUUAGAGAUCAUGAAUACUGUCUUAUUGUCCAAAUGGUGGUGGAGGCUCUUUGCUGACAUGAAUCAUUUGUGGGGCGCACUCAUUAACCGUAUUUACUAUCAUCGUAGGAAACCGCUAUUGGUAGGACUGUCUUUCAGAUCCCACUCCUUCUGGUGGUGCAGUGUGCUAGCGACAAAGGAUGCAUUUAAGUGCGGAGUGUCUUUCUCAAAUGGGGACGGACAAAAGGUCAAUUUCUGGAUGGAUAUUUGGAGUGAACAGGCUUCCUUGCGUAUAACAUAUCCGCACAUAUUUGACAGAGUUACAAGUAAAAACCUCAAAGUCAAGAAGUGUUGGGGUAGGAAUGGGUGGAGGUGGUGUAGGAUCCUGUCAGGAUUCACUCCUACUUUCCAGCUCGACAAUAUCCAGAUUCUAAAUCUUAAGGAGUCGAUCUCUACGAUGUCCCUCGGUAAUCUUGACAGUAUCCAGAUUCUGAAUCUUAAGGAGUCAAUCUCCACAAUGUCCCUCGCUAAUAGACAGGAUGACAUAAGAUGGAGAUGGGCUAGUUCCGAAAUUUUUUCGGUUAAAUCGAUCUACAAUUUUAUACAAAAUGGUGGCGUAAGAGACAAAAGCUUCACCCGUUUGUGGACAAUUCGACCCCCCCUCAAAGUCAAGAUUUUUAUAUGGUUAGUCCUAAAAAAUAAGAUACUAAUAGAAUAUAACCUUUUAAAAAGGGUUGGAGGGAAGAGGACAGCUGUGUCUUCUGUUUGGAUGAGAUGGAGAUGGUGGAUCACCUCUUUUUAGGAUGUACGUGUUCUACAGCUUUGCUGGAAAGUUUACUAUCAAACAAACGUUUCCUUCAUAACUGCUCAUCAGUUAAGGGAUUAUGGAAGGUGUGAUCUGUUACAAAGGAGGUAUACAGGGCAUAGAGAGUUAGUGGUUAUCGCCGCCACUUGAUGGGCUCAUUGGUUGGAGCAGAAUAGAAGAAUCUUCGCGAAUACUAAGCUCUCGUCGGGUACUUGUUGGCCGAGAUUAGAACUCUUAAGGAUCUAUGGUUCCGUUUCUGCUUCAGUAAUAAUUCGUGUUGGUUUUUAUUUUUUUUUUUGAGGCUCAGUUGCCUCAUCUUGUAGCCAAAUUCAUUUCCUAAAUGAAUGAAACAGUAGCAUACUAUCUAUUCUCAAAAAACAAAAAAACACAAUCAAAUCUAAGAUCUAAAACCUCUGCUUCAUCUAACAAAGAGUAAAAAGUGGAAACUUUACCAUAUACGUUGGUUUUGAACACGUGGUCGAAGGAGGCCAUGGGGACCUCGGCGAGGGGGGCGACCAAGUGAACCCCGGCGUUGUUGACGAGCACGUCGACGCGGCCGAACCGAUCGAGCGCGGCGUCCACGGCCCCUCGCACGCUCUCGUCGGAGAGCACGUCGAGCUCGAGAAGGAGGAAGCGGGAAUCGCCCUCGAGGCUGCGCAUGGAGCCCCGGGAUCGGGCCGUCGCCACCACGGCGCACCCCGCCGCCGCGAACGCGCGCGCGAGGGCGUAGCCAAUCCCCCCCUCGGAGCACCCUGUUAUGAGCACCACGGGUUCCUCUCGGAUCGCCAUUGGAGAUGCCUCCUCUGGAGCGGAGGAUUUAGGAAGCGAGGAAGGAGAAGGAGAAGAAGAAGAAGAAGAAGAAGAAGAAGAUCCGGGAUUGUGAUUUAAGCCCUCUAUUUUAAUACAACGACGCGGGGCAAAUUAGCGGGAGUAGCCCCUCCGAGGGUGGGUUUGUUUCACCAAAAUGUGGCUUAGUUCUUAAUUAAAGUAUUUCUUUUUAUUGUUUAAUUUAUUUAUAAUUUUAUUUUUAAUUAAAAUUUUAAAAUUUUCAACCUACUGUAAUAACUAAUUAUAACUCCUACCAGGCGGUAGUCAAUUACAAAGCAAUAAAAAAAAUAUUAAUCCGCCUCCCAUAUUUUUAAUUUUUAUUCUAUUUAUUUUUUACCAAAAAUAAACAGUAAAAUUUUGAAAAAAAAAAUUAAGUUCACAAUUAGACAACUAAAUAGCUGGAGAAAAAUAAUUUUAUUUAAACUUUUGACAGUGAUUUUUGCUGAAUUAAUUAUUUAUACUAAUAAGACUCUAUUGAAUUAUUAUAUGUUUAUUGAAACAGAUUAAAUUCAACCGAUGAAUUAUAAAGAAAAUUUAUGUGCAUGGUACAAUGCUCUGCUUAACAAAUGCCACAACAAUUUUUCUUUUCUUUUUUUUUUUUUUUACAUUUGGUUUAAUAAUUGUAGGACAGGUUUAAUCUGGUGAAAUUAAAUAGGGUUUAACUAAACAUCCCAACGCUGACUAAAUGGCUUUGUUGGCCAUUGGAGGACCUUCUUCGAAGGUUCUAACCUGCAAACCAUUUGUACUCCGAAAAUAAAUGCAAGAUUUAUAAAUUAGUUGGUUUGGGUUCACCAAACUGUAGUUAAUAAUUUAUUAUCGAAAGAGACUCACACCUAAGCUCAUAAUUUCGGAUGGGUACCAACCAACAUGAGGAGGAAUUCUACUAUAUAUGAGUUACACUAUAUUAUCUAUUAAUAGUUCAUCAUAAUUUUUUUUUAAAAAAAAAUAUAAUAAAAAUAGAUAAAAUAAAAAAAAUAAUUUAAUUGAUUAAUGACAACAUAUCAUAAAUAUAACUUUUUUCAACAGGACGCUAGGGCCAUAUCUUGUAGCCUCUUAAUUUGGGAAAAAAUUUAUUGCAACAUUACUACAUUCUAUUACACCAUAUAGGAUGACGAGAAAAAAAAAUCUAUUAACAAAUAAUAGAGUUCAGGUCAUGUAGUUUUAAAAGCAUUUAUGCUUAUAACUGUGACCAUCAAAUCGUCUCAAAAUUUGUAUAGCAUUAUAAAUGGUGUAUCUCAUUAAGUUUUCUUUAUUAGCGUUGUACAAAUUUUGAAAUAAUGGACUGCUAAAAAAAUUACAAUCUUAUGUGCUUUUAAGGCACGAGCUUAGCUCAAGGUAAUAUAAUUAUUGUAUCUUUGUCGGGCCCGGUUGUAUUGGACUCUAAUAAACUACUGGGAAAGAAAAAUAAAAAUUAAAUUAUGUUAACUUUAGGUACCGCUUGGAUAGCUAGUUAAAAAAUUUUACAGAAUUUUUUUUUUUAUUUUUUUGUAGUUGUGAACUGAUAAAUUCAGACAUUCAGCAAAAUCUUAUAAGAAUUUUAUAUUAUGUUCUAUCUUUGUUUCAAUGCCAAUUGUAGAGUUUCAUAGUAAUUCUUUCAAAUUUGUUAGAAUUACUAAUAAAAUAUUAAAUUUAUCAAGCAAAUAAAAAUAAAAAUUAUUAAUUAAGCUCAAUUAAAUUAAACCAUAUUUAAAUUACAUCUUAUUUCUAAGGGGUAGGUAGGGUGGGCACCUGUGCCCUAGAGAGUGUGGGAGGUGAGAGAAGGAAGGAAAACAGUGCCUUCCGGAUAGCUGUCCUCCUUCGAGGAGAAAUCUAUAGAAUACAUAAUUUGCCACUUUCAUCGUAUCAAAGAAAGUGGUUUUACGUUAAAUCAUGUCCUCGUUUAAGAGAGUAUGCAAAAUGUUCAAAAAAAAAAAACACUGUAAAACAACUCUAAAAAUAUAUAAAAAAAUAAAUUUUAGUAAUAUAGUAAAUUAUUUAAAUAUUUUAUAUCAUAUAUAUUAUGUAGGAUUAAUUUCAUAUGGAUCCCUGCAAAUAUGGUGAAUAGUAAAUGUAUUCCUACAAAGUUCAACUUUCAUAAAUUAUUCCUGCAAAAGUCAUAAUGUAUUCAGAUAUGUCCCUCUGGUUUGGAUUUGUUAGAGAACUAUUAAUUUUUUAACAGUAAAGUUGUGAAAUGACUAUUUUGCCCUCGCUCUCUUCGUCUUCCUCUUCAUGUUGUGGGAGCGAAUGGCGGUAGCGGCGACGACGACCUUGCGGAGCUUGUCGGGGUUGCAGCGAACGAAGACAAGGAAGAGACGGAAGGCGAAGGCGUGGCCGAUGCCUUCAGAGGCGCCCGUGACAACGACCCACGCGGGCACCACGACGGCGAUGGCAGUCGGAUCAUCGACGACGACGAUGAAGAAGAUGGAGGAGGAGAAAAGGAAGAGGAAAAUGAGAAUACGAAGAAGAAGAAGAGGAAGAAGAAAAAGCAGGAGAGGAAGAGGAAGAGGAAGAUGAAGAAGAAGCAGAGGAAGAAGAAGAGCAAGGGAAAGAGGAAGAAAGAUAAAAAUGUCAUUUUACCUUAUUAACUAACAAUGGUUAAGUAUUUUAAUCGUGGUUAACUAGAUUUCUCUAACGGGUAUUAACGGCAGGAACAUAUCUGAAUAUAUGAGGACUUUUACAACGAUAACUUAUGAAAGUUACACUUUGCAGAAAUAUAUCUACUAUUCAUUAUAUUUACAUAGACUUAUAUGAAAUUAACCCUAUUAUAUAUAUCAUAUAUUAUUUUGUGGUAUUAAUUAUUAGACAUGUCGACAAUCAUCAUAUACUGUAUGGUAUAUGAAGCUUUAAUAUACACUAGAUACAACACAAAAUUUUUCCACUCUCUAUACUUUUUUUUAGGAAAAACUUUAAAAACCCCUAUGUGGUUUUGUAGUUUCUCACUUUGUCUCCCUUGGUUUAAAAUGUAUCAAAUUGCUCCCAUGUGGUUUCGUUUUUAUCUUUUUGAUAGCAUUUUCGUUAAUAUUUCAUUAAAUUAUAUACAAAAAACUUCAGAUACCUAUAUAGAUUUAUCAAAUAUUCACUUUAGUACCCUUUAUAUUAACUUUAUAAUUGAUUUAAGAAAAAAAAUAAUAAAAUUGAUAAGAAAAAGAGAAAAAAGAAACCACAGGGACGCAAAUUGAUACAUUUUAAAUCACAGGGGGACAAAGUGAGAAACUACGAAACCACAGGGGUUUUUAUUUGAAGUUUUCCCUUUUUUUUAUUAUAAAGAAUCGGCUCUUGACAACAAUUAGGACGCGACAUGUGUCUCUUUCAAUUCUCUCACUUCAACUUCCCUAUUUAUUAAAAUAUAACAUCUACUAAACAUAAUUUUAAUUAUUAAAUUUUUAAAAUUAAAUUAUAAUUUAAUAGAUGUGAUCUACAUUAUAUAAAAAAUCUCAGAUUUUAAAUUUC